rnacentral:lncRNA from 1 species
GUUUGAGGGGGUGCGGUCUAGAGUUUCCCCAAUUCGCAUUUCUUUGGACCUGCAUGAUUUCAUGUAAUUUCUUUUUCAGCUCAACUCCCUAUGAAGUAGCGAGCAUGGUAUAUCACUGUGACCCAAUAUAAAUGCAUGGUGUGUGUGUGUGUGUGUGUGUGUAUAUCUUAUCAUAAAUUUUUGAAAGCUUUUCUCUCCAAAGUUUUAAAAGAAGAAAUGCUUGGGUAACAAAGAAACUUCAUGCAUUAAAAUAUGCUACUUUAUCACAUUCUAUCGAUAGGUGGUGGAUAUUUGACACCAUAAAGGCUUUCAUUGAAUGGAGCAACCGGAAAGAUGCAUACUAGGAUUGCAAUUUCUCUACAUGGGAGAUGGACAUGGUUGCAGCACAGCAUGAAGUUGAUACAUGGCUACCCUUAAUAAAUUACUUCAAGACAUUUAAUUUGGACAAUGGCUUUGCCUUUUUCAAAAUACCCAGGCAAUUAGGCUGAGCAUAAGCCUAGGAUUAGCCAUUUACAUUUCAAUUAAUGUGUACUAUAAUAUAUGAUGAAAGGAAACCUAUAUCAUAUCCCUUUCCAACCUGUCAUAUAUACAAACCUCUAUAUGCAUGGUGGAUUCCUCGUCAGAUAUAUAUUGCAUGAUGGUUAACAUGAAACGGGAGUUUGCCGCACACCCAUGGCUAAGUGAUGGGCACAUGGAUGUGCAACGUCAAGCAGGAGAGCAGUCCAUGAGUCAUGCUGUGUGACCAAUUAACGCUGCAUUAUUGGACCAUCAAAUGGUCUGAAUGAGUGUGGAAUCUCAUCUAGCUAAUUAGACUAGGAAAACAAAUGGAGAGGAUACUCUCUCUCUCUCUCUCUCUCUUCUCUCUCUCUCUUACNNNNNNNNNNNNNNNNNNNNAGGAGUACUCUCUCUCUCUCUCUCUCUCUUUCUCUCUCUCUCUUACAAAAAGAGUACGCCGGUUCAAUUAUUUGUUUUGUUUGCAUGGGACAAUGAUGAUUCCCUUAUAAGACUAGGGUUCUGAAAUCCAUCAAGAUGCCAUGCAUUUUCCAUGCUAUCAACUUAUUUUCGUGGAAGGUUCGUGGACUACCGAUCGAAUAAUGGACAAAAAAAAUGGCAUUCCGGACUAUCUAUCCUUGCUCUGUGCAAGCUCAGGAUAUCUUGCAAUCAUUUUCUGAUUAUAUAAUUUGGCACCCUUUUGCCCUUGGUAGUGGUACUGGGAGAAGAGCAGCAAUUGCUUUUUUUUUAUCUUUUCUUUUUCAGAGGAAGAGAAGGAUAGCAACACCAAACUACUAAGAGGAUAGAUAGGAAACAACUCAACAUGGGGUGGUGCCCUAAAUAUAUAGGCUCUAAAAAGACUAGCCUGGCUGGAAUCCAGGAGCAGCCAUGCCGCUUUAUACCUUUUACACCGGUCUAGAUAUCAAAGUUGAAAACUGUGAUCAGCAUAGUCGAGUCUCAGGAUUAUUAAUCGUAAGCACACGGUAUCAACAACGCGAAUAAGAGUUUUGUUUCAGGUUUUCCACGUAGUGAAGAAGAACUCGGAUAGACAGCUAGCGAGGGUGGCGACAGGAUAACGUGCCAAGCUACGAAUAACAUUGGCUAGAACAGGUUGUUGCAUCAAUUCAAGAGAACUGCUUAGAUCUAAAGUUGCAUCGGUAAACAUGCCAAGGGUGUCGGCAUGCGCUGUGCGCGGUGAACUCUUUUUUUUUUUGGGGAAAAAUAGGAGGGGAGGGCGAGGGACCAGCCCACCCAUGCAGCAGCCCUCACUGGCCAUCCUUCCACCAGGGAAUGUUCGAUACAGGUCGCAGGUUUCGCAUGCCUUUCCCGACUCGUGGGUUCACCGCCUUACGUGUGGGUACGUCAUCCCAGCACCAUCUCGGUACAAGUGGAAGAAAAGCAUAACCGCCAGCAAGCCAUCCGGGCAUGGGGCAUCCGAUCUCCUAAUUUAAUCGAUGCCCGUGCAUUUCGAACGCAGACAACUUGGGCGGAAUUAUCGCUCCCUUACCACUAAGCUACCCAGACAACUUCCACGGUGGACUCUUCGAUCUUCUGAACGCAGUGACGGAUUGAAUUGCUGCCGAUAAGCAUCCUAAUGCACAUCUUCUACAAUUUUUAGGAUAUGCCAUCCGCUUGUAUUAUGAAAGCCGAAGACAUAUCAGCUGUUUUUGUAAGGAGAAGAAAAAAAUCAUGCAACUUGAGCUUGGUGAGGGUCGAUGAUGGGCAUGGCGUCUGAUUUUAGUUAUGAAGCCAGGGUUGUGAUGCCCAGGUCCGCUCUAUAUAUGAGAUAUGUUUCAAGAACAUCUUAUGAUGCUGGUGCCCACUGUUUGAAUUAUACGUACAAUUUAACACCUUCAAAAAGAUGGAGAAAGUGAGAGAAUUCUUAAUUCAGCUAGAGCAGGUGAUGGGUACGAUAUGUGACCGACCGAAUAUCCUAGGAAAAAAAAGUGGAAGCUCGGUCCGCGAGGCCUUCCCUGGUCACGGGAACAGACUGCUAGACUAGAGUUUUGAGUUUCCGCUAGCACAAUGCUGAUCUCUGUAAUAACUAAAGCAAUUUUUUCACAAAAUCAUAAUUGCAGAGAGCAAAAUACAUGGUUAGAGAAGAUAUAUAUGAUAGGAAAUUUCUGACGGCCAUGAAAGAAAUCAACAACCAUUGGGACUGUAGUUAGCGAGACCAACAAAUAGGGCCCAGAAACGUUAUCACAUAGUAUUUUAAUCACGACUACCGUUCCCCAAGUAGCCAGGCACAAGAGGUAUGAAAGACUGAGACCGAUACCCAGCAGCAAUAAGAACUGACAAAAUCACUUGGUCGCUUAAUCACCACACAUCCAUUCCUGUAUUGUUAAUGCCUCACGACGCCUCAUCAGUGAGGAAAUAAUUGCAGCCCACACACAGCACUCGCAUGAUGGAGCAGGCAACCACGAGCGAAACCUCUCAUCAUAACAUGACUUUCAUGAAAGAGAAUUCGCAAGCUCAUAAGAGACAGUAGAUAAAUAAAAUUGGAUCAUAUCUUCCGAAGGUAAUCUGAAAACCAUUGUCAAAGCCUUUCCCAUCCCAGAUCAGAUACAUUCGCAAAGAGCACUCAGUUUCACUCGUCAUUAGUCAUGGAAGUGAAUGGAAAACAAAUUAUAGAAAGUCUGGAAAAAUAAAAAGACGAUUCUCACGGUAUUAUAGUUUUGCAAGCAACAAUACAAGGUUUUUAGCUUCCUUUGCAGUAAAAAUCAGACUUCUCCUCCUACUCUUGAUAUCCAUCAAAAUGUCUUUACUUGAUAACCAAUUCUAAGACAAACAUAAAGGUCAAUCAAAAUCUGUACAGCAGCGGCAAUCUGUCCUGAUAACCCAUUCAUGGUAGCUCAUCAUGUCCAUCUCACUGCUUAUAUAAAACCAAUGACUUCAGAAAUGCUGCCAUACCAAAAGGGCCUACUGUUGCAACCAAUCUAUGCCAUCACCAGAAAGAUUUUGCAUAGAUUACAACAGUACCAUUGCACCACCAGAAUACAGUUGGAAGAAAAUGAAUUAAAAGAACCAAGUUUUCUUUGGCAAGGUCAUAUAAAUGUCAUGUUCUUUAAAAACAAAAGAAGAAAAACCAUGCCGAUGUCCAAGUCAGAAGACAGGUUUGAAUCAUCAAGCACCCUAUUCCACCAUAAGCAGAACCUUACUACAUCUUGACAAUGAUAAAGGGAAGGUGCAUAUGAAGCCUGUAAUCCUGCAGGGUACAGAGGAUCUGGUCUGCAGUGUAUGGAGUUUCCUGGUGAAGAACAGGGUCUCCGUAAAGCUGUAGAGAUCAUGGUAUUCAGUAGGAUCACAGGGCCUCAUUUCCACAUCCAUGGUCCUAUAGUAACGCACCUCCACACCAGGACUCUCAUGUAACAGUAAUCAUCCAAUCAUUGAUCAUAAGCAUAAAUAGGUGGGUAAUGUCAUAGGAUAGCCUUUUGUUUUGGAUUUCAUUGAUAGAACUCAGCCCUGUUCUGCUGGCCUUGUCAUGAGGCUUCUGCUUAGAUCGCCUCUUUACAUUAAUUAAUCUGCCAGUAAUCAUUUGAAAGAAUCCAUAAGAAGCAACAAAUACAUUAAUUAAUUACAAGAUCACCCCUUGUCUAGGGGAGUACGAACCAUGAUCACACUGUUCUUGGUAUGACCCAUUGCUUUUGUUUGUUAAAUGUAAAAACAUCAGAACCUACGUGAUCAAGAAGUGCUGCUGUCUUUCAGACAUCCAGCAGAGUGAAAGAACAUAUCGAUUAGGGAUAUAAAAUAACAAAAACUAAGUAACAAAGGCCAAUGAACAGAGCAUAUCAAGAGUCAAGACCAAGCUUGCCACAUAUCAACCAUGUAUUAAGUGUGAAGAAAACCUGGUUAAAUAACUUUCCAUGUUCUAAUGGCAGGGAGAAAUAACAAAAAUAAGAUUGAGAGAGGAAAUAAUGAAGCACUUCAAAUUUUAUAUUUUUUUUUUCUAGAUUGAUAAAAGAAAAUUACCUAAGAAAGAACACAUCACAACUAAUUCUUUUCCAUGCUCAAAUGCAAAUUAAUAUGAAAAAGAUGGUGGAAAAAAGCAAACCUAUAAAUAAUAUGCAUAAAAUCUUUCAGUUCAUUAAAUAUUAAAACAAUAUAUAUAUAAAUCUAUUAAGUAACAAGCAUGUGUUUACCUCCAUACGAAGCAAGGCUGCCAUCUGAUCCUUGAUAAACCAAAGGAUCAAUGCACGAAACUUUCCCUUGGCUGUCUUCUCAAAUACUCUAAUAGCCAAUAUCUUAGACUGCUGUUGUAGAGCCUCUUACCUACUCUAACAUGCAUGCUCACAAGACAUGCCAUUCAUUCCACUUGACCAACUGAAAAUAGGUUCUCCUCUAAGAAAAGCUUUCACCUGGAAAUCAAUAAAACAAUGUUCCUGAAAAAUGGUGUACAAUGCAAUACUGUGCACUUGAAAAUUGCAGUAAAUUGCCUCAUAAAAAAAGAAAACAUUAUACAGAAACAAAAUGGUACACCUCAACAAGAACAGAACCAAACAUCCACUAUUUACCUGCCAUCUUUGUUUGGUGCAACAGAAACACUGACAGCCUUGCAAAGUAUACCUUGCAGCAAGCUCAUGCCCUCCAUAACAAGCUUCUCUGGAAACAUUGGAAAUGUUGCAGUAGGCAAAAAUACUGAGGUUCCUCUUCACAUCGCUUCCCUAUAUACCAGAAACACAAUGAUUAACUUUCUUUUUAAGCACAUCAAACUUAAUCUUGUUGAUGGAAAAGGAUUAAAAAAAUAAAAAAGGUAAAAACCUCUCAAAUUAUGCUGUGAGGUUCAACCAAGCAAGCAUGAUCAGCAACAUGAAUCCAGACUUUUAUCCGACCAUCUGGCAGCCUAGCUGCACUUAGUGCAUCAUCAAGCUGCAUUAAUUGAAAAUGCAAAAGGACUUUUUUAGCGAAAUAUUUUUUGCAGGAUGGUAAAGAAUAUCCAAGUGACAUGUAGUUGACAGUGCAUGAAUAUCUCAACCUACCUCGUCAGCCUCAUCCACAUCAAUUGCAUAGAGUUUCCAAAAUGUAGGAUCUUUCCUGUUAUUCGGAAAGGAAAUUCACAAAACUAAGAAUUAAUAUAUAUUUACAUGCAUGUUUAUGUACAGAACCCUAAAUAAAGGUACUCUUACCUCAUCAGGAUCAGAAGAGAGCAUUAAAAGGCUUUCAGCAGCUGACAAAACUUCAUCACUAUGUUCAGUAUGAAUGUUGAACUUUAAGAGAUCAAGAGGGAAAUAUCCAAUAUCUAGAAGCAGGAUCACUGGAGCAGAUGAUGUUGUUAAUAGUCCCAUUGCGUUGAGUAUCUACCACAACAGCACCCAACCAAGAAAAGCUUAUUCAAUAAAGUUAGUGUUAUAAAGCAGAAUGAAUGCAUGACUUGAGAACACAUAGAGUACAGAAAGGAAAAAAGUAAAAAACAAAGGCAGCUAGUGCAUGAGGCUCCGCCAUUUCUAUGUCAGAUAUACACAGCUUUACACCCGUGUGCGGAGAGGCUGCUUUCCUAUUUUGAACCUAUGACCUCCAGGUCACAAUGAAGCGAUCUGUUGCACCAAGGCUCACUCUCUAUAGAAAGGUAAAAAAAAAUUGAAGAGCACUAAAUCACAUAAAAUAUUGAACAAAGUCGUGCAUAACAAUGCAUCGAAGACAUAAUGGUCAUGCACCUUUUUCUAAAGAUUUUCAUCAGAAAUAGAUCAAUGCUGAAUAUGUGCAAUAUAAUUGAAUAUCUUCUACAAGUAUAACAUCUCUUUUAUCAUCAAAGGUAAUAAAUAAAAACUUUUUUAUGUCACCAUUCCUUAUUAUCCAUAAGAUAAUUAAGAUACCUGGACAAAUUUAAUUCACACUUAUGGUGUCAGAUGUAUUACAUUUCCAGAUGUUUUCUUUUGUUCCUCAUUCCUGUAUGCAUCUAUAGCAUAUGCCUCAUGAGCCUCAAUCCUCCAUUUGACCUUUUCUUCUAUUGUCCAUGAACUUUUAGAAGGUUUAGAGCGUGGAGGCAUUGCCGUUGCAGACAUCAAUAACUGGACAAAUUCUUCAAGUUCCUUCACUGAUGCUUCCUUGACAAACUUCCUGUGUAAAAGUUCCUCCACCUAAUAUCAGAUAAAGAAUAUCAGUUGUUUGGCAUAAAUAAUACAUGAAAAUACAAAGUGAUUUCUCAACUGAAACAAUGUAUAAACUGGGAUGACCAAAAGUCCAUGCAUAUCAAACUGAAGUUUGUGUGAUGCUUGCCAGGUCAAAUCGGCGCAAGACCAGAACACAUAGCAUUCUAUGCCAAGAAUGGGCAUAUAGAAACACAAAGGCACCUGAAAACUUGGAUAAGACUGCACAAUAUCGUAGAAACAGUGACCCAAAAAAGAGAAUAAAGAUGGUAAUCUACUAUGAAUUGAAGAAAAUACAAAAACACAAUAAAUCCUAAACUGCAUAACUUGGAUCAACCACUCCAACUAGUUGGCCUUUCCCAUACCACCUCAUCAAUUAUUGUAGUGCAGAGAUGACAGACAUGAUACAAACAAUACCUGAAAACUAGGUCAAGGCUCAUAAACAGAACAAGAUCCUAUUGUCUCAAUCGCAUUAACAUAUAUUUCAUCUCUUGACAACAAAAGAUAAGCACAGUAGCUUUCAAGAGGAUCCCUGCUACCACAUAUGAUCCGAAGCAAAUGAUACUUAUAUUUAUUAAAGAUAGGAAAGGUGCAAAACAUGGAAGAAUUUUUUUUUAUUUAAAGUGCACCUCUGCUUACACCUUAGCUGUCACUGACUUUUUCUUUUCCAAAAGCUCCACCCAACCACACUCCAGGAUUGAUGGAUCCUUUGACAAAACAUUAUGAAUGUAUUAAAAAAAAUGGUUACAUGUACUGAAAAAAAGAAGAAUCAUGUCUUACUACUUACCAAAAGAUGCCGAGCUUUUUGAAUAAACUCAGCAAUGUUUGUAUGGUCAAAAUCUUCGAUACCAGGUACAAUAUAUGUGACUUGCUGAGGCCUUAUAGAGGACAUAGUACCAUUCUGUUUUCAUGAACCAAAAUAGAAUAAGAAUAUGAAUAAUCAAGCUCGUUACCUCAUAAGCAGUUGAGUUUGGCAUGGCAUUAACAUAGAAAAGAAAUAUAAAUAAAAAAAAUAAGCAACCACCUAGCAACCUAUCAACAAGCUGCAGUAGUUGUUUUUAUUAAAACUUGAUCAUACACCAUCCAUUUUUUCUUCCCAUCAGGUUUUUGCACAACUGCUAGCAAUGAAUUUUGGGAAUCUUUCCAAAAUUCAAGCAGCAGUCCUUUCUGCAAGGUUCCCUUUUCUAGUUUUACUUCAAACAAUUCUUUACUGCUGGGUAAUCCCAUUCUGCAAACAACGACGAAUUCUGAUUAUGAUUUGGCACCAACAAUCUAAUUUCGUAAACAAAUAGAGAAAAGUUUGAGCUUUGGAAUAACAAAAAAACAAACCGCUAACCACUGAUACUAGUUCACAGCUAGUACUAUAAACCAAUAAACCUUCAAAAUUUCUUUGUGACUCUGACCACAUGAAGCCAGAGCUAAGAAAUCUUGAUGCUGAAUGAAGAACUGGAUCAGAUAAUGACUCUAAACUUUUGAAGAAUAUGCACCGACCUCAUAUAAGGUAUUCUAUAGUAAUAUACCAUUUUCACAUCAGCCUUUAGCAGUUACCAAUUGGACUGCCGAUAAUCUUGAGUAUAGUGAUUUAAUUGACAGUCAUUUCCCUCUCAGCUCUAGAUUCCCGCUAUGGCCGAUUGGGCUGGUUCUUCCUUCUUGAGAUGAAAUCAGUAGGGGGUUCUCCCCCUGCUUGACAACCGCCCAACCAAAAAAAGUUCGCAUCCUCCAAGUUCUCCAGAUUAAAAAUAACCAUUACUUGCUCUUCUACAGCAAUGAACAAGGUAACAACAUAUCCACAAUCUUCACAUACAUCAUGGUUGUAUGGUAACAAGGAAAUAAUCGAUUUAUAGAUGCUGGGGUUAAUCCUAAAAAGAUACCACCCUGAAACUAUCUUAAAUUGGGACCUUUUGGCUCAACUUUAUCCCAAUUUUGCUGAGAUACCCACUCCAGCUCCCCCAAGUAGUCUUCCUCCAUGAUGAUAAGGGCCUAAAUGAUCCAACAAUUUAAUCACUGUGUCAAAGAUUCAUAAUUUCAUAUCUUUAUUUCACUAAUAAAACUAUAAUAUAUAUCCCUUCAAUUCCCAUNNNNNNNNNNGGGCCAAAAAAAAGGGGCCAUAUUAACAUUAGCAUCACCUAUAUGAGAUCUUCCAUCCAAAGCACUCCCAACCCCAUGUCCUGUUGCAAUCGUAGACCCUCCUCUGCAUGAAGUACAUCGCUAAAUUGGUUUCAUAUCACCUCAUUUAAGAUAUACUCAAUUCACAUGAAUGUACUCUUGCCAAACAUCCGGCCAUGCAACAUAUUCAAUUAACCAUCGUUUGGAAGUGGGUUACUUACAAAUGGGUAGUCAUUUUUAGAUGAUAAGAUAGUAAAUAGAACCAUAUAGAUGCAAUUCCUUUCAACCAUCAUCAUUAAUUCUGUUGUGAACACCCUCAUCUGUCCCACCAGGUCCCCAUUAGAAGCACUUUUAUCAAUCAUUCCUCACCAUUCAUUCCUAUGGGAGAUAAAAUUAUCUGCAAAUACAACUUGCUCAAAAUCUUUCCUCACAACUACCAUCCUUGUUACCUUGAUUUGCACUUUCGUCUUUGAUGACCCUGCACACAAUUCAAAGCACAUCUAUCUACAUGUACUUUAAUUGUCACUAAACAUGUCCACGCAAUUUUAGUAUGCUCUCCACCACUCUCGCUUCAACUCGUGCAAUUCUUUCACUUCAUAUAAUGUAAACAUAUAAUCCUUCCUAAAUCAACCACACAUCUGCCUCAAUGUUCUCCACUUAGUAACAUUCAUUUUAUGUGCUGAAACCCUCCAGACUGACAAAAAUAGGUGCAUAAAACAUUGCAGCCUUAAAUUUACGAUUUAAAAUUGUUUAUACAAGUCCCCAGGUAUCUAUCAACCACAUGGUACUACAAAAGCAUCUUUCCAGUUAACCUACACUACUCUAGUUCCUCCACGUUCUGACAAAUCACCAAAGUUUUUUUUGGUUACAAAAAAGAGAAAAGAUUGCAUAUACAAAUCUGGGGAAUCAAAUCAUGAGUUAGGUGUUGUUUCUACGGGGUGCAUUGAUAAUCAUCCUGAAAAUUUUUUCUCCAGAAAUGUGAUUACAAUGAUUGCAUAUACCAUACCCCUUCUAAAGAUUAGAAAUUAAUGCAUCUAUGACAUGAUGAAAGAUCUUUAUUAUAUAUUAAAAAAAAAUCUUUGAGUGAGGGAGCGAGGUGACAACCUGUGAGGUCACCAGUGAAGAUAAAUUUCUCACAAAAAAAAAAGGAAGAAUUUGUGCCCAAACUAACAAUAAAAGAAGACCAGGAGAUCGAAAAAAAAGGAUAUUACUUGAUACACGCACGAAUUGGCCCGCUGGCGCGAUUUCUGCCAACUCCGCCAUGACGGAGUCGACGAGGCUGUGGGCGCAACAGCUCCGGCCCCUGCCAUCAUAUCGGAAGACGAGGCCAUCCAACCGAAAUCUUGGAGGAACCGAGGAAGGCUUCCGCAGAGAGUGGAAGGGCGGGAGUGGAAGAUGCGGAGGGAGAGGAGGACAAUAGGCGGAGGAGCGGAGCGGAAAAGGGAGCACCCGCUCACGGCGCUGGUCGCCAUCGGCGAUUUCAUGAGAGACGUGCGAAGAGUGCGGGCCAGUGUUUAGUCUCAGAUGUCAAACCUAUUUUCGAUUGCUUAACAUGACUCAAUACAAUAAUUCAAUAGUUUUUUUUAAUAAAUACGCUCCUAAAUAUUGGAUUUUACAUAUAUAUUCUUCCAAAUUAAUAUUUACAUACAUACUUCCGUAAAACACUUAUUUUGUCUGUCUAUCUUUUUUUUAUUUUUGUUUUUAUAUAUAUACCCAUGCUAUCCAACGGCGUUAAAAAAUUAAUGAUUUUAAAUUAAAAUAACUAAAAUAUCCUUAAUGGGUAGACAUGCAAAUAGAUCGCGAUUCGCGAUAGCAAGAAAAAAAAAGUUAGGAACAAUAGCAUAAUUUUAAAAUUUUAUUUUAUUUUUAAUUAAUAUAAAUAUAAUUUUUUUUAACACCGUUAGAACAACGGUUAUAUUACGAGUAUUUGUAUAAUAAUAGAGUUUUAUGAGAGUAUACAUGCAAAUAUCAAUUUUGGAAGGAUAUUCAUGCAAAAUUUGAUAUUUAAAAGGAUAUCCAUACUAAAAAAACCCAUAAUUCAAUAAUAAUAUUUUUAUAGCCAGAUAAAUAUGAUAAUUGGAUUAUAUUGAUUUGAUUUCCAUUGCUUCUCUUUUCCUUAAGGACUCCUUCAUGCUCGUUCUCUAGCCAGAUCAUGCUUAAAUGCGACUUAUAUAAUUAGCUUUAGUAAAAGAAUCCCACUUUAAUUAUAGUAUUUUUUAAUAAAUUAUACUAAAUUUGCCUCUUUGCUUUUUGGUCAAAAUUUGCCUCUUUGCUUCGCAGCUAGCACUUUGCAGAACCCUGACUCCUAAAACACUGGGUUCUAUUUUAAAUUCAGAGUAAAGUUCGGGUCCCAACUGAAGAAGUUCCAAACGCUCUUAAGAUUUCCUACAUCUAGUUGGCGAACUACCUUCUUUUAGCCGGCCGGCUCUACGUUGAUUUCUUUCAAUCCUUUUAAUCUCCUCCAAGUCCGAUCCAUCCCACUCUUACAGCUUUUUGUUGGUCCCAACCCUUGUCCAUGAGUGAUUUUCUUUUUUCUUUUAGGGAAGGGAAAGUUGAGCCACCCAAUUUAUUGAAUACAUGAGAGAAGUAUAUACAGGAGAAUCAAAAGAGACAGGGAUGGAAUGUACAAUGCGAAGGCAGGAGGCCGGUGAGCAUAAGAGACUUGUAUAACCUGCAGUCCAUCCUGUAAGCAAUAAAUAAAAACCAAUUGUCUUUUAUUAGAAAAAAUAAAAAUAAAGGUUUGUUAUUUAUCAGUUUACUCGGUCUGAGAUUUUAAUCAAAUAUUCAAACAGAAGUAACUGUGCUACGAAUAUAAUAUAUGCGUCAUCUGAAAAACAUUGAAGUCUAUAAUUAUUUCCAUAGCGAAAGUUUUACUAUGGAUGAUCAAGGUGAUAUACUAAUAAUAUAAUGAUAAAUUCCUUUCAAAAUAUAGUCAAUUAUAAUUUUGAUUAGAUUUCCCUACUUCUUUUAUAUGUGCAUUUGCACAUAUAUUUUCACUGGUAUCAUAAAAACGAACAAAAUCAUAGUACACAAAUACAACAUCAGUAAAAAGAUCAAGACGAUCCCACGUAUAUAGGUUCAUGUUAAUUAAUCAUCAUCACCUUCAAAUAAUAAUUAAUCUUGCACUGUUAAUAAUUAGUCGGAUAUUUGUACUACAUCUGCCAUAGUAAGAAGAUGGUAUUUGCAGGCCCGAAAGAGCUGAACCAUCAAGAAUUGUUGAAUCAGCUAAAUCUCACAGACCAAAAGUCGGAUUAAUAAAGUUCAUGUUUUGUCUAUCUUGGCCUGAAAGUUGAAAAAAACCAUUCACACAAAUUAUACUACAAUCAUCCAAUCCAAAUACCUGAAGAGAACUUUCAGUUCCUCAUUGGCAACAAAGCCGCCUAAGUCUGAGUAAAACAAUGCAUACUUGUAUUGUCGGUGGCUGUGGUCUGAAAGAAAUAUGUAUUGCAAGUUUGGAUUCUCAGCUCAUUGUAGUCGAACCACAAUCCAUGCAUUGUUAAUCUGGCUGGUUUUCAGCACAAUGUUACAGUUGGCCCUGUUAAUUGUCUGUCACACUUCUUUUUUUGCUCUAAAGAUUACAAGCAAAGUUCAAAAUCUGAGCAGAGGCACACGUCACAAGCUAGAGCUUCAAGGAGAGCCUACCUAGUACCGAUCGAACUAGUACACCGCUAGGAUCAAGGAGAGCCUACCUAUCUGCUGACCAUCUUUGGUUCCUUGCUUCUGUUAGCCUUUCAUUUAGUACCGACUUUUGGCUUCUACUUCCAACUUGACGAUCGGCAAUGUUGUAUUAUUUCAAGCCAUGUGUAGGGGUUUUUACAAGGAUCGUCUAUGAAAAUAAUAAAGUACGUUAAACCAUAACGACUAUUUGACAAAAAUGUUGAUAAGCUACAGAAGCUUAUACACAUAUAUCUUCACAAACAUAAAGAAUCAAUGAAGGUCCAGGAAUACAAGGAACGGACUUCAUCAACUGCAAAGCUGUCUGCACAGCUCUUCUAUCCGAGUUUCACUUGCAGUAGGAAAGAAAAAGGUUUGGUUACUUCCAUUGCCUUGGCAUGUCAAAUUCAAACCAUUUGCAUCUUGAGCUGGCUGAAAGGAUAAGUCAUGAAGCAUUGUUUCAGGAAAUAAAUCAAGCACAUUUUUAAUCCAUAAUACGACCAAGUGAGUGAGAAGAAUGCAAGCAUCUUACCAAGCAGUACGAGGCCGAUGACUUGCAGCUCCAUAUUGAAUUAGGGACACAACUCAGGUAAUGGCACCAGGAGCAAUGGUCAUUUGCAUUGACCCCUCGAAAUAGCAGAAUUAGGCCAACAGUGAACCUGGUGGAUGUUUUGGAACAUACUCCAUCAUCAACAAUAAGCAAGUCCAAAAGCAACGCUGCCUAACAUUUUAGAGUUGAACAGAAGGGACUAGGGAGAGAAGAGUGGGGAGGGAUGGCAUCAUCUGAGAUUUAAAAAUCAAAAAAACUAAGAAUGAUUAAUCAUUUGUAAAUCAUCAUUCAUCAUGCUGAUCUUCAAACAUGAAAGCCACCUAUCCUCUGAAGCAAGCAUGAUUGCACCCAAACCAACCCAAUAAUUCAAGUCAUCUCUCGCUGCUCUUCAAGCAAUAUUGUUCCUAUUAAUUGUUAUGGAGGCAAUGGAUGGUUGUCAUAAAUGGAAUCCAUGUUAUCUGCAUUAAAAAGGCAGCAGUGCUUACAAGCCAAAACAAAAACUAGAGUCGUUUCUUUACUUCUUUUGUUUAAGUUGCUGCCCUUCAAGCAAUAUCCUCACUAUAGUUAUGAUGUCCAUCCAAUGGAUUUUGCAAAUAAGCAUACAAACAGAGAUUUCUAUAACUAUUAAGCAACAGAACAAAUGCUGCCAAAGUCUUAAACUCUAAAUGGUCAAAAAAGUUCUGUCGGGCAGUUUUUUUGAAAUGAAACAACUUGAAGGAUAUAUCAGCAUACAAUCAACCCAUUCAUAAUGCAUGCACACACAAACACAGAUAUGUACUGCAUGCAUGAAAAUAUAUUCAAUAGGCAGAAAACGUUAAUUUGGUCACUUACCCAACAAUCAGAAAGAUAGCAGCGAUGAUCCAAAGUAUAUACUGAUAGAUCUUGUGCUUGCUUUUGACUGACCCUGUGUGAUAUCCAGGAGGAACAUUCUCUUGGCCGACCCACUCAAACUGAGGGCGAAUAAAGAACACAAAUCCAAGAAGGAGCCCUGAAAUAAAUCCUCCAAUAUGAGCAAAGUUGUCCACAUGCGGGAGGAGUCCCAGAGCUAAGUUAAUUGCAAUGAUGAAUAUGAGGGUCCAUAUUGUUGCAAACUGAAGAUUAAAAUUAAAGGCAUUAGAUAGUUUAAAAAACAAUCGCCAAAUUUGAAAAUGUCAGACCAGCACUUCUUCCAUUUAGAUGCCAUAUCUCAAAGAUUACCUUAUUUUCAAAGAUUGUCCAAUUGGUUAUAAGCUCAGAAAGCAUGCCCCCAAGUAACCCAAAAAGUGCACCAGAGGCACCAACAGAGAUACUUGAUCGGAUAAAGAGAGCAGAGAGUAAGCUCCCACCAAACCCAGAGAUGACAUAUAGCAGGCCAAUUCUCACUGCAGAAGAAAAACAAAUAUUCUGGUUCUCAGGAAAUAUCUCUUAUUCAAGAAUGUCAUGUAACAAUAUUAAUAUUAAAAAAAAUUAAAGCACAAAACUAUAAGAAAUAUUACUAUAUGACAUAUAUCUGAGCUCAGCAUAUGAAACCUCCUUCACGUCAUCUCCAUAUGCAAUAUAUAAAUGCAUCAGAUAAGCAAAAACUGAGUAUGUUCUCAUUUCAUAAUUUGGUGACUUAUUUCAUAAUUUGGUCACUUAUAUGCAACCCUCAACCUCAAGUUAACCCACCAAAUCCAAUUUCUUUACCUGGGCCAAGGAUCAUAAUCCACGACACUGAAAUGUGAUUAGCAUUGACAGUAUGUAAAGGUUGCUACUUCUAUUAAAAGCACAAAUGGAUCCAACAUUGAUCCUGACCAUUUUUCCCCCAAGGGAACAUCAAAUCUAACUCAUACAUGGAAAAAUGCUACUCUUUGAAUUGCUUAUGGAUAGCUUGGUUUAAAAUUUGUAUGGAAUAGAUAACGCCACUUCCCUUUUGUGAAAAUCCACUCCCUUUACCUGCUAUAGGUCAAUAAUUUUAUGUGGUUUAGAGUUAAUGUUUGGCUGCCAGAAGAUCAUAGCUUCUCAAAUUUCUAGAAACCUCAGCUGACGAGUCAAAGGGAGUGACUAUCCCAAAUGAGCAGUGGCACUAUGAAGCCCCAAUUUCAUAGUAUAUACCUGUUUAUAAUCAGUAUAUCAUAUAUCAAACCAUGCAAAGGAAAUACACAAGUAGCACUGUUUGCAAGUGGAUCUGCUAUGCUGGUAGGGAAACAGAUGAUGCAGAUUCCUGCAUGCAAGAAUGUAAAAUAUGACAUUCCAUCAGGCAAUAACAGCAAUUCAUUUGACUGCAUCCAGCAUCUGAUUUGGUCCUAAGACAGAACAUGGAAUCAGUAAAUAACCUGAAGUUAAAACUUAUUAUGCAACAUACCAAACCCAAAUUCUUGUUCAAGUUGAACUCCAAUAAGAAGCAGGUUCAACAUGUUGGCAAGUAUAUGGAUAACUCCAGCAUGUAGCCAAAUGCAAGUGAUCAGGCGCCAUCCUUGGUGCUCCUUAACCACUUUAGUCACAUCUAGAGCACCCAUCUUCUCUAGCCUGAUGAAUUAGAUACAUAUAAUGUCACCUACAACUCCAAACCCUCGUGACUACCAUAGCAAAGCAUAGAGAAAAUUUUGAAAGUUCUACCAAUUCAUAAGGUGAAUAUCAAGUACCAGGGGAGCUAUCCCACUUUAGUGCAGUUGAAGACAAACAAGCUCAAACAUUAUUAAGAUACGUGAAGGCCUAGCCACAUAAGAGCACCGAAUCAAUUAAGAGAUGCCCACAAUGUAAAACUUAAAUUUUAAGGAAAAUUACACUAUAAUGACAAAAAAUACUUCCAUGUUGCUUUAGGAAAGCAGUUACCAAUCAAUUUUUCCUAUCCAUAGAUAGCACCGAGGAGCAUAAUUUUCAAAGAUAUCCAUUUUUGGACUUGAAUCUUUUACACUGGUUAAUAAAUAUCUUCUUACUUUACAAUUUUAGUAACAGUUGAUUACAAACAUCAUGAACUCACACAGUAUGGGAGCAAUUCAAAAAUAUUCAGGACAUAAAUAGAAUUCCAAAAUUCACACUAGAAAAUUAAAGUUAUGAUGGACAAUAAACUAUUGCAUGAUACAAACAGCCUAUAAACAGAUGCAAUUGGAUCUUUUGGUCUUGGUUCUUAUAGAUAUUAUAACUAUCAGUAUGUUUCCUACGAACCUUAUUGAUUUCUUCUGUUAAAGAAUAUUGUUAAGCUGGGAGCUUCAGAGAAGGAAAUCUUGAAAAUGAUCCCUAAUAUCUUUGUGUCAUGAGUAAGGAAGAUUCUUGGAGUCACUGUCCAGUUUGGUCGAAGACCUUCUAUGAAGUGAGAGCUUGUGCCUCAAAGAGAACUCUGAAGCAUGCAUUUUAACAUUUCCAAGGAAAGUUGAAGGAAUACAACUCAACGAAUAGCAAAAUUAUGGCAUUCCUUACCUUCAUCGUGGAGAUCUAGGAAGAAUUGCCAUGUGGAUACAGGGGUUUCUUUUAUAUAGGAUAUCAAAUAAAAUAUUAUCCUUGUUUUUCAUUCUAGUACGCACUAUGUCAAGCGAUCUCAACAGGUUAAUCUUCCAGCAAGAGAAAACGUACUGAAAAUAGCCAUGAAAGGUAUCCUGCAUGACAUGAAACAGGGAUUAAAUGGUGAAGAUAACAUCAAAGGACCUCAGUAAAUUCCCAAAGUCAAUUCACAAACUUUGGGGACAUAAUUGUAAAGUAGGUUAAGCAAGGGACUGCAAUCUACUAUGCAGAAUUUGAUCGAUCAACAAUGGAGCUUAAUGUUAAUGUUCCGUCAACUUCCAGUAGCUUCAAAUGUUCCCUACAGACUUAAUAUAAACCAAUGCCGUGUUAAAGAAAAAAUGAGGGGAAAAACAGCAAUAUGUAGGUCAAUCACUAGAAUUCAAUGGCCAGGUACAUGUUAAAGACAUUGUCGAUUGGGACAUUCUUUUGGGACAAUCUAUUUUCUCAAAAUCAAACUUUUGUGACACUUUGAGUGAGAAAUGCCCAUCUAGUGUUGUUAACAUCCUGAUAAAUACAAUAUCGUUUAAAUGUUUAAUCUUGUAUACCGGUUCCCCUACGACGAGCCCCGCCCUCUCUUCAACCAGAUAUCACCAUAUAACACAAAACAACAAAACCAAACAAGAAAAAAAAAAAAAAGACAGCCCUGAGUGCCUAAUUUAAAAUCAAAUUAACAUGACCGCAAAUAAUACAUCAUUGAAUAGCACAAUUAGUGAAUACAAAAAUAUGAACAACCGUAAUUUGCAUAAGAGCUCAUAUCCUAUUUGAAGCAAAGGAGAAUAAUCUUCUGAAUAAGUAUGUGAUCAAACGAAAUAACAAAAGAAAAAGAAAAAAAGCUCACUUAGACGAGGAAGGGCCGAAGAGCGGAUUCUCCUUGAGGGGAUUGAACGCGAACCUCCCGAGGAAGGGGGCGACACAGGGCCUGGGGGAAUUCCUCGGGCAAUUGUUCACGCACAUCGUGACGGCAAACAUGAUAACGUUCGCGACGACGAACACCGGCACCAGCCACGGUGUCCACCGCCGAAACGGCCGCAGCUCCGCUUGCUCCGGCGGUCGCGGCGGAGCGGUCGGAUUCGCCUCCAGUGGAUGGACGACGUUUUCCCCCCGCCUCGGCGGGACCAUGAUCUCGAUCUCCGACGACGUUUCCCUCCCCAUCCCCAAAUUCUUCUCCCUUUCUUUCUCCCCUCUCUAUGUCAUGAUCGACGCCAUCGGAAAAUCAUUCCUUUGGAGUUGGAGGAGAGGGAAGCCAGAAAAGAUCGGACCGGUUUAUUUUUAAAAAAUAAUAAAAUAUUAUGCGGGUUUAUUUUUAAAAAGAUAGUAAAAUAUUACGUGGGAUUAGUGGGAUUACGGCGAAAGAAGACGGAAUAGGAAAUUGAGAGAAGGUGGGAUUACGGAAUUAAUUAAGGAGGAAGGGAGGAUUGCGAAUGCGAUGGACACAGAGCCGAGGAGAGUGGCCGGGAAGUUCCGAAAAAAAACACAAAUAUAGAAAGAAAAAAUUGAAGAUAAUGGAUUGAUUAAGAAUAAACACCGUUGUGAUCCAUUCUAUCUUAAGCUGUAAAUAGAUUGGGUUGAUUUGUAAUUAGACCUAGCCUGCUUAGAUUCAAUCCAAUCGAAUCCAUUAUAAGGAACUCAUAAAAUCCGAUCAAGUUUCAGAAUUAGAUCCAUUUUACAUUUUGGAUCAGAUUUAGAUUUUUUGAAUCUUAACCCGACCCAUCUCAUCUAUCAUCCGGAUCUAAAUAGGAUCUUUAUGUAUAUUAUCUGAUCCGAGCCGACCUGAGUAUGGCUCCACAUGUCAUGAAUCUUCUCUCUCGCCAUUGUCACAGCCCUUUCAUCCGUGAUGAGGAUUUUUUUUGUCACAGGUUCAUGACAUUGAGUGACGACCGCAUGAUUGCUGUGAAAAACUGAGCUUAAGUUGACAAGUCUGGGAAACAACUAUCACCAAAACAAGGGAAAAGCACUGGCCACACAUAGCCUUCCAAUGAUGUAGCGAGCAAAUUUCCUAAUUAUGUUGCACGAUCACGAAAUAAAUUAUUCAAAUUAUUAUGAAUAAAAUAUCAACGAGCUACCUGGUAAAAAACCAUCAGUUUUAAAACACUAGAGUUGAGCAACUUAACUAGUAUAAAGAAGAAAAUAUUUUUUGUUCUCCGUCAAGGCAUGGAAAAAAGCCAACAAAAAAAUGGUUUUCUACAUAAAUUACAGGAAUUCUCGAACUCUCACAAUGGGGCUGGUCUCACACUCUCACCUGGAAAACUCAACCCAAUGGCCGAUAGAACCAGAACCAAUUCAGCAUAACUUAAUCGAAGCAUUGGUAAGAUAAGUUUUCUAGUUUUUGCUGCAUCAGUGAAAAUCUCUUAAUGCCAUGAUGGAAGUUAGAAUUAUUCUCUAUUUUUUCUUUUCCAUGCACCCAUUCCAUCUGUCAGAAUGUCCGGUAUCAGUCAGGAGAUUAUGGCUGCUGACAAAGGCCUUUGAAGUGACCACUUGAGAACUGAUUUGUUUCCUACAAAUUUUUUGUUGGAAAAGUGAUCUUGAGCUGAUAUUUUUAUAAUAACAAAAAUGUGCCUGUUUUCUCGAAGUUAAUGACUCGAAUUUUUUCAUACCAAAAUUUUUUUGAGCUAGAAUCGAAUCAUGCAUGAAUCUGACCCAAACGAUCCAUUAGAUCCAAAAACUUAGGUCGUGGAUCUAUCCCCACCUGGCCCAAUCCGGUCUUUUUUUGGGUUGGCUAUGAAUCAAACAUCAAACCAAGAGACCAGAUCGGACCAUUCUUAAUCAUGCUCCGAUCUGACCAAACCUAUUUACAACUCUAUCUGUCUAUUAAUAAGAUAGGAUAGAAGUGCCCUGUUGGCAUGAUCAUCAAUUCAAUGGAAAGAUAGGAGAUAGAGAACCAAGCAGUGACAAGAGUGUGGUGGAUUUUAUUAUUCAUUUGCAUAACAUUAUAACCAUUUUGGGAUGAAAUGUGGCCAUAAGACAUGAUCACCAUUUCACGAAUAUCAGGAAUGCACGUGUUGUUAGAUAAUGACCACUUAGUAUCAUUGUUUCUUUAAGAUAAAGGUGUAUCGGCAAUUAUGGAUCCCGUAACAAGGAGUACUGCUAUAAAAUUCUAACUUUUGGCACCUUUUCCAUCAUUCAAUCUUUGAAUCAAUUGUGAAAUAGGUGUUUAUAGUACAAAGUAUUAUUCAAACGUGUUUUGCCAUUUCGGCGUUCAUAUUUAACUAGAGAACGUUGGUAUAUAAUACUUUAAGUUUAACAUAUCAAUAGCCAAAAAUAGAAGAGUGAAUUUUUGUGAACCCUUUUAAUGAUGGUAUAGUUAAAUAUAGAAAUGUUUGUUCUGAUUGUUUACUGACGCUGGAUGGGAAUUUUUGGCAGGGAGAUUUUGAGCAUUUGAAGGAAAAUUUUCUGCAUACAGCUUGAAGACAAGAUACCAUGCCUCUAGUUCCUAUGUUUUCUGCGCCUACAAGGCCGUUCAAGGUUCAAACCCAACAACCGUGGGACUAAGAAUACAGUGCUUUUUUUUAAAAAAGUAAAAGGAGAUUUUGCCACCCAGUUUUGUUAAGAAAAGUUAUUUACAAGAGCAGAGUAGUAUGGAAAUAUGUUAACGCUUUUUUUUUUUUGUCGAAUGGUUAAUAGUUUGAUGGUGUUAUAGGCUUAUACCAACCUACAAAAGAUUCAGCGGCAGAAAAAUUGCUCACGAGAUAUUUUAAAUGGCAAUAUUAUAUAAAAUUUCUUUAAGAUGCUAGUUUACAAUAUCGAACAAGUUUUGUGGGUGCAUCGUGCAGCAUACAUGCUGUGUCAUUAUAUCUCCUUCCCAACAAGGAGAUUAUAUUUUCUUAUGAUGCGGUCCUAUUUAUUUUAUUAUAUUUGCUUUCCCAUAUCAUGGGAUGGUGCACAAUGUUAUAAUGAGUCAGGAAUUUGGAUGAUCCAGGACAAAUUUAUAUAAUAUAAAAUAUAUAUUUUUUUAUCGUUUGAUGCAUAAAAUAAAAAGUCAUAAUUUUUUGUAUAUAAACAAUUAGAAGAUAGUAAAAUACAUUCAACAACUCAAAUCAUUAAUAUUGAACCCUCAUAAAUUAUCAGAUCUGAGACAAGAUUCACUUGGUCAAAUCCUUAUCUCUCUCUAUCUCUCUCUCUCUCUCUCUCUCUAUAUAUAUAUAUAUAUAUAUAUAUAUAUAUAUAUAUANNNNNNNNNNNNNNNNNNNNCUCUCUCUCUCUCUCUCUCUCUCUAUAUAUAUAUAUAUAUAUAUAUAUAUAUAUAUAUAUAUAACAGCUGACCCAAGUUGGCAAGUCUUAAAAAUAGAAAAAAAACCUGCAGAAGAAAGAAACUAGUACCUGCCGUAGACAAACCAGGAGAGAUUUGAAGGCGACCUAUUAAAUUAACGACUCAGGGUUUGACCCAAAACCUUAAACAAUUAUAAUCCACGCAGAUAUUAUGAAAAAUGUCCAUCUUACAAAAUCUGUUAAUUUCUUCUCACAUAUUGUUGAACCGUGCAAUGGGAAUUCCUCGGUUUGACGAACCUAUAAAAUGUAAGCUAUGAUGCCUAAAAGUUAGUGAAGACAUUGUAUUCCAUUUCGUUUAUUUACAUAGCCAUAAGAAAAUAAGUUUGACCUGCCUCAGGUUAAAAUGUGAUACUUCAUACCACCAAAAUGAAACCUAAGAUAUUAGACCGAGUUACUCAAUAAAAGUACAGCAAGAUAAAAGAGCAUACAAGGGUAGACAAAAAUUAUUGCAAGAUAAAAAGACUAUUUCCAAUCACAUACGAGCAGACAAAAAUUAUUGCAAGAUAAAAGACUAUUUCCAAUCACAUACGAAGCAGAAAAAAAUUAUCUCUGCCUCUGCAACAAAAUUCCUUAUUAUUUUGGGCACCCCCAACACAAGAAAGCAAAUAAAUGAAUAAUGGGAUGCAUUAUACUUGAUCCAUCAUGCUCUUAUUGGAGAGGAAUUGUCUGAAAUAAACCAUUCCACACCACCAAAUAUACUCUCUUGAAACAGUAUAAAAAGUGCCACACCUUCCGGUCUGCCUAGCAAGUAGCAAUGGUUCCACAUUUUCAUAAAUCAAGAAAAUUUUGCACCCACUCAACCAACCACCUUCCAAGAGAACCUGAUAAUUAAUCUCGAGUCCUGAUGGGCUGCAGUCCUGAAACAACGCAUGACCUGAGGUUAUCACCUAGCAGAACAAUUCCUCUAAGCUUUGUCAUGCAGUGCACACAAAUAAUCAUGUCCACCAUGCAGUGUACAUAUAUAAUCAUGUCCACCAUACAACAUCAUAAUUUAAAAUAACCUCUCCCACUAAAAUGAUAUUUGCUUCAUACAAUAGCAACAGAGUUUCUACUGGAAGACAGCAUACUUCCUCCUCCCUCAAAUGCAUUUAAAAGUAAGUUUUUUUUUCAAGUGACAUAAUAUGCAAAAUUUGAUAAUAAAUGGCAAAUAAAAAACUUAUACCCCCAGGCCACUAGGUAUGAUAGGAGAAAUAAUAUACUGGCCUGCUUAAUUGGGGCCAGAACUUACAGCCAUGCCAUGUGCGCUUCAACAGAAAUAUCAGCCGGCCAAGUAAUUUAUAGACCAGCAAGAAAAUUCGGAGGAAGCAGUGCGUCGCACAAGAAUGCAAGAUGGCACAGGCUAAGAUUGUAAGCAUGGCAGCCUAAAAUUUUCAAUAUGAUAAAGCAAUAUUUGUGGUGGUGAUCGUUUAAAUCGUAAAAACUUACUUGUUGCCCAUAAUUAACCAGUACUUGCUGAUUAAGAGAACCUGACCAUGCCACGGCCCUCAACACUGAGUUUUGAUGCCUGAAGUUGCCUCUUUUUUGGUGCUUUCAACUGCUGCAACUUUCUAUUCAUCUGCAUUACCAAUUUUCAGAAACCAAUGUCUGUAUGUGAAAUAGAUCUGAAACCAAUUUUCAGAAAGACUAGCACUUCCAGUAAACAUUUUGUUUACUGAUACCGAGUAAAUUUCUCAGCACAAUGCAACAAUAUUUAUGUAGCUUGCAGAUUGUUUUCAUGAAGGAGAGUAGCAUGGCUUACAAUGCAUCAAAAUGUUAAAUAUAAAUGAUCUCAAGGUCGAGUUUAUUCAUAACAUAAAAUAGCUGGCUAUGACCUUGAUUUACAAAAUGAUAUGCACAUGGUUGCCUGGACCUCCUCUAAUGAAGGUUAUACCUAUGGGUACAAUUGUACAAAAUGAUUUAACAAAUAACAUAAUCAAGACCCAAUAACCAUACAGGCCAUAGUUGCAACAUUUGUAAUUGCACAAAACUAAUAAUUGUGAAAACUAAUAAUACAUGUUAUUAAUUGGUUACAGAUAGAACCUCAAAGAAGCUAUGACUUCAAACAUUGAGAACGUUUGGAUGGUUGAAGGAUAGCAGAAAAUUGUGCUCAAGAUUGAACUAUCAAUAUUAACACCAUGCCAACUGUAGACCAUGAUUACAAAAUCAACAUGCACACACACCUACGGAUGAGCUAACAGUAAAGAACCAAUUUCAGUAGCACUAAUUUUCACCCUGUAAGGUCUGAGACUUGAUUGUCCAUAUCCAGCCAAAAAAUGCGCAAAUCACCAAAAUUCUUCUUAACUCAUUCUUCUAAACAAUUAGGUAUAUAAAUAUUUUAUGCUACCAGUCUUUAACCAAUGGAUAUCUCCAACAGAAAAGAAUCUUCAUACUUGAUGUUUAUUUCUUUAUACGGAAAAAUUAUGAGGUAAAGGAGAUUUCAAAAUACAGUUUUCAGUUUGUUUUAAUUUAAGUUGUGAUAUCUUGUUGAGAAGAUGAAGCCUAAUAAAAUUAAAAUGUUGUCAGUAACAGUAGUAUGGACCUUCAGCCGGUGCUGAUCUUGUCCAGAUUGCUUUGCUCGUGCUCUGACUUCUUCUGGAUCUACUUUGGAUUGGGGACGCACAAUAAAAUCCAAUGGCAAUGCUUCUGGCCUAGAAGCAUGUUGCCUAGAAGCAGCCUGCCCAGAUCUCCGCCCCCUGCACCCAGCUAGCAAAAUUGAUGUUGAGUUCAAAGCACAGCAUGUCAUACAGAAUUACACACCAACUGGAAACCACAUGAACAAAAAAUAAGGGGGGUGGGAUUAUAAGUCAACGGAUCAUCUUACUGCGAAAAUUCGGCCAAAUCAAGAUCAUCAUCUCGAGAUUCCAACCCCAUGGCUUUGUUCGCAGGCCUUUAAGUUAGGGUGCAUAGGCAGCAGCAAUAUUAACAAGCAAAAGAUUAGGACACAAAAUAAAUAAUUUGUAAAAACUGAUAAAAUGCAAAAUAGCUGCAAUUACUUCUGAGAAGAUGGCCUUCUGUAGGGAACUCUCUCGUCAUCUAGACUCCUCAUAUCCUCAAAUCUAGUGCUCUUAUUAAAUAUAGGUCGACUCUGCUCAUUAUUGUUUUAAAAGAAUAUUUUAACAAUCUCAUCACAUAAAAAACCUGAUGAAAUUGCAUUCCACAGAUUCUAGGAAAUAGGGACUAAAGAGAAGGAUCAAGAAUAUAUAUAAAAUAAAGUUAGAUCCGCUUUGCAUCUUUAGAUAAUCUAUUACCCAUUUAUCAACCAAUUCCUUAGCAAGUUUUCUGUUUGAUGUGGUCUCCUCAUCAGAUUUUGAUAAAAACAUAAUCACCUGCACGAGAGACAUAAAGUCACCCUAUUCCUUCUAUGAAAAUUUAAAGCAAUGCUGCUGGAAUGUCAUUCUAGCUUUAUGUAACCUUCCCAAGCCCACUCUUCUUUAGCUGUUCUCUCCUGUCGAAUUGCUCUAAAUCAAUGGGAAACUGCAUUACAAUAACAGAACAUUAUGACCAUAUGCAUGUUAAAUUUAACAAAAAUCUUAACAACCAAAAAGUAUCACACUUUGCAAUAUGAGCCACAGCAUGUUCAAAGCAUUUUUUACCAGCAACAUAAUAGAAGAUAGCAUGUUCAUAAAAAAAGACCAUUCUACUUACAUCAGUAAGUAAUUUAAGUAUAGCAGUUCGGAUAUUCAUAUUGGGCAAACUUCCAUCAGGUAGGGGUUCAAGCCAAUUUUUCAGAAGAGUUAACACUCCAUGAUCUAAGAAUUCUUGCUGAAGCUUCUUCCUGACAGUAAAAGAAGAAAUGAACAGAUUUUAAGAGUUCAGUAGCAGCAAAAACCAUAGCACUACCAUUCAAUUUUCAUUUAGCAAAAACAAGCUUUUUGAUGGCUAGAACAGCCUAAAUUUCUUGACCAGGAAAUCAUCUUACUUAGAAAGAACAUCUACAAGCAGUGGCAACUUCUUCAAUUUGUUGACAGCCGGUUUAUUUUGCCUAUUUAGUUCAGCAUCUUCUUCAGCUGUAACUUCGAGCUCAGCCAUAAGAUGUUCGACUACCAUAGCCAGUUCAGCAGGUGAUUUCUCAUUUUUCUUCUUUUUCUUUCCUGCUUUGAAGAGUUUACUAAUUUCAUCAUCUCCUUCACCCUCUUCAGCCUGCAAGAACCAAACUAUUAGCUUACUUACUAAAAAGAUAAAAAGAAGAUCAUGGCGUAUAAAUCAUAACGACUGCAUGAGGGAAGAUAAAUCCAACUUAAAUUUGCACCAAUGUAAUUAGUUUGAUGACUUCCAAAAUAUACAGCAUAGUCCACAUGAAACAAUGUCACAGCAAUAUCUAAAUAUCAUCAACCUUUAAUCAGACAGAUAAUGGUGCAAUAACAGAUGCAUAAACAAUUACACAGAAAAUGAUGCGACUCAAACAAGCUGAGGAAACAAGGAAACUGCUGGACAUGGAAUCAUAAAAAGGGAAGUGUAACUACUCGAGGCACAAUAAAAGACCAACCUGAGGAGCAUCACCAGCAGAACCAGCCUCAUUGUCACUGCCAAAGCGAUCAGCAGGAUCAACACCACUAUCAUCAAUGAAGUUAUCAUCAUCCACUGUUUUCACUCCCUCCUGGUCAUCCUGAUUUGUAAAGGGAAAACCAUAAGUACAGCAUAUUGCAACAUGCUGUUCCUAAUUUGACGGUAACUUUUCAUAGCUUAUGGCAUAGCUUAUAGUUAUUUCCAGCAAUAAAUUUCUUUAGAUGGUGGCUGCUUGUCGUGGUAACACCUUUGAUGGUUACCAUGGUUUCUUGCAAAAAAAAACUCUCCCUAUCUAGAUAACUUGUUUUAGAUAGUUAAUUCCAGAAAUUAAAUACCCAUACGAGAACUCUUCUAUAAGCAACAAGUGGUCAUGCACAAAUAAUUAAGCAAAUCUUGAUCUAAAUAAUAUUUUUACCAUUUGCUAUAGUUGAUCGAUGACCAACUACGUUUUGGGUGUAAACAUUAGGAAACAAGCACGCUACCACAAAAAAAAUAACAAAGAAAAGGAACAGUAAUAAAUGUAGAGCACUGAAGAGAAAGACAGGAUGCCAAGAAAUUGGAAAAUCUUCAGUUAUCAACUUAAUCCCCAGCAGAUAAUCGGGAAAAUCCUACAUUUGCCCACGGUUACAGGCAAAAGAGUUAAGAAAGAAGAGAGAACAUAAGAACACAAUUUCGUUGGAAAAAAGACUACUAUCCAGACCUCGGAAUCGCCUCCUGCUAUGGUGUCCCACAACUCCUUCAUCUCUGGAUCACCAGCUUGAUCCUUCGACACUCCCCCAUAACCCUUCGAUCCUGACUUGAACCCCCUCCCUGCCGACCGCUCCACCUUGGACGAAGACGAUUUGCUCUUCUUAUCCUUCCCACCGCUGCCACCAUUCCCCUCCUUCAAGGACGCGGCUUUCUUCCUCUUUUUUUCUGAAGACUCCUCCUCCCAGUCGUCCAAACCUGGCGCCACCGGACUCCCUCCCCAGUCCGGCGACCUCUCCUUGGCGCUCUUCUUCACCAGCCUCUUCCGGGGCUUGCCAGCCUUGUCCUCAGCCGCGGAGUUCAGAACCGGCGUCGGCGAUCGCUCCCGACGCCAUUCGCCCUCGUCGUCAUCGUCAAUCGGAUCCAUCAGCCCCGGCGAGGGAUCCUCGUCGGACGGCAUGUCGGGAUCCAUCAGAGGCUCCCCAUCUUCAUCCAUGUAACUGGUAAUGAAUCAAAUCAAAACCCUACAUCAGUAUCAGAAGAAGAGAGAAACAACUCCUAGCGAAGAAAAAAGCGGGAUGAGGAGCAAGGGUUUCGAUCGGAGUGCGUACGGAUCGUUCUCGUAGCCCAUGGCGGCGAGUAGGGCGAGGAGGAGAUUUGGAUCUUGGCGCAGAUGAAACCCUAGAGGAAGAGGAACGUCGAGAAAUCUGGCGAGCGAGCGAGAGAGAGGAUAGAAUCGACGAAGGACGGGCUUCGAAGAUUUGGCUCUCGCGGCAUGAGGAGGAAGGAGAGGUGUUGGGUGGAGGAUUUCCUCGCCCUUAUUGGAUUCGCAGCGGAAACGAAAAGCAUGCACGACCAAAUAAAAGUCGGCACGGUCGCCGAGUUCAAUUAAAGUCGGCCAGUACAGCCGACUUUAAAUAGGUUGAUCUAAUUUUAAUACUUCACUGAAUUUUAGCUCAUCUCUUAGGCAAUUUAUCCGAGACUUGUUGUUUUCUAAUUUUAUUAGAUGUAUCUGUACUUACAAUGUAUGAAAUGCCCGCUUUAAGGAAAAAAAGUAUUAAGCAGCCAAAAGCCAGGGUGCUUUAAUCAAGUUAGAGAGGCUUAUAAACAAAAUGCAGUCUUUUUGUCUUCUUUCAUGGUUUUAGAGAUGGGAUUGAAAUUUUUAAGACAAAAUGCAGUAUACAGAGUCUUUUUUUUUUCAGAAAUAUUUUGAAAUUAAAAGUAAUCACUAGCAAUUUUAAUCAAUUAGGACAAUUUUGAGCAGAAAGGCAAGUGGGAGCAUUAGUAUGUGAAGCUUGCUGCCUGAAGCUGGCUAUUUGUGAUCAGGAUAGAACUUUCAGCAAGAUGUUCCUGCCGAUUUCAUUCGCAAAAAUUGCGUUUCAAGUUUCAAGUUUAUGCUGUUAGCUAAAUCACAUCUUAGCCUCUCACAGAUGCAUGGAGUUACAGAUUGUACAUUUGGCAAUAGGCAUCACUCAAGGCUGCAUAUAACUAACAGCAGACAAUGCCAGGCUAUUCCUGAACUUGAUAAGACUAGGAAUAUUUAUUUCUUAGAUAGAUCAUGAACCUUGUUCUGCAGACGCUACUUGUCAAACUGAGGCUGCCAUCACUAAGGUUCUAAUCUUUCUCAGAUAUGGUUAGAUAUGAGUUAGUUGAGCUAAGACUAGUAAGUACUCUUCACUAGAUAUUGGAUGUUUUGGAUCUAACCCCAAACCACACCCAAAAAAUUAUUUAAUCCAACAUUAACCCAUCCAAAUGAUGUUUAUUUGGGACGAUCCUCGUAUAUGUUGCAAGGAAUGAUUUAUUCUACAACUCUAAUGGGAAUUUUUUGAUCUACUACUUAUUUUAAAAAAAUAUUCUGAAUAUAAAAAUUAAAUACAUGAAAUCCUUGAACAAAAUGACGUAUCAUGUUUGUAACUAUGAUAUGUACAAGGUGCCAAAGUUUUAGAGUUAAUGGGGAUAAAUUUAGGGGUGCACCGGUUCCUUUGCUACCGAGAUCCAAAAAUUAAAUAAAAUUAACCCAAUGAAUAUACAUGCGUGGUUGAUUUUUGAAAUAACGUGUACAUAGUGCUCAUCUACAAAAGUCCUCAUUUAAUAUAACUUUCAUUAUUAUUCAAAUUUUUUACAUUUAAUUAUCUAAAUAAUUAUUUAUUAUAAUGCUAAAAAUGUUAUAAAACUAUCACAAGUUAGAUAUGAUGCAUUAGCUAAUGAUGGAUUGUAUUCUGAGUUAAAAGUUUAUUUGUUUAAAAAGCAUGACUUAAUGUAUGAGGUCUCUAUCAUUAUAGGACCUGGCAAGAAUCAAAUAUAUGCAACCUUACCCCUAGAUCUGUGUGUGGAGAGAUUCUUGUAUUUCGAAGCUAUAGCAACCACAUUGCAUUAAAGCAACCUUACAACCAUACCGAAGCCCAUCUUUAAAAAUAAAAUUUAAUUUUCAAACAUUUAGUAGAAAUUUUUUUAAAUAAUUUUAUAAAAAUAUAUUGAAGUAUUAUACCAUGAAAAAUAUGUAAUAAGUGCUAGAUCAUUGUAAAUUAAUAUCCGGGAUAAGUGGUUCCUUUUUCAAGCAAACUUUUUUUAUUAAGAUUUAUGUAGAAUUAAUGAAAAAUAUAUAUGUUUAAAAAUAGGAGCUGAACAUUCAAAAAAGAAAAAUAAAUUGAUUCAACCGUAAGUGGCUCCUUGAGUGAAGUGGAAGUGCAUGCAAGUGAACUUGCUUGUCUACCCCAUCAUCAAAAAAAUUUAAAAAUAAAAAAUAAUGAAAAUUAUGAUUAAAUAUAUUGCCGGCCCCAUCUAUCCCAGUAAGAAAGCUUGAUUCUUUGUGCACACUUUUGGUGGAUGAGAAUUGAGAAGGCCAGCCGUAGAGGGAAUUUGGAUAGCUGCAUGGGAGGAUACUGGGGGUGUAACUCAAGUGGCAGUGCCAGUACCGGGGAUAUAAGUAAUGGUGUUGGAGUCAAUAGAUUGAAGAGAGAUAGGGUAAUCUUACAGGCCAAGCAUAUAUUUAGAGAGACCAACGGGUAUGCCGACUGGAAUGGCUGCCUAUGCGGCUCACCACUCAGAGUAUACCUUAUGGUCAGAAGAGGAGAAGUUGCCUUAGACACUUUGUGAGCUCGUAUUUUUUGAUUUUAUUGGAUGUAUUCAUACAUACAUUGUAUGAUGAACCCGUCAACAAAACAAAAAAAAAAAAAAAGAAGGCACCACAGAGGAGGUUGCAGCAAAGCGACAAAAUGUGAGAGUAUCAAUAGAGGUUAGGAGACAGAUGAAAUAACUGUUAGAUGGAUAGAAGGAGAUGAAGCGGCAAAGAAGAAAAUGCAAGCAGAUGAAGAUAAGAAAGUAACCCAAUGCCUAAUGGACCCAUAUGAGCAGCCAUGAUAUGAGGAACAGGAGUAUCAGUGACAUUGCUAACAAUAAUAUGGGACCUAAGGUCAGGAUGAUAUAGAAAAAUUCCUGUUACAUAAAUAUAAUGGAGCAUCGUGUUUGCUGGGCUAUGAAUUUGACUUUGGAAUGGCUAAUUACAUAAGCUCUUGUGUUUUGAGGUGAAAUGAGAAAGUGGAACCCUUCGCAAUGAAUCACUUAAGCCAGGCAAGUUGGUAUAGUCUUGGUUUCUUUCUGGGGACUCGCAGGAUUCGGUUUAUUUCUCAAGAAAUUAAAAACAAAGAGGACAAGAUGGUUAAUUGAAAAGAUGUUCCCCUAUAGUUGAAAUAUUUAAUUAGUUCAUAGCAAACGAACCGCUCGAAGGAAUUAGAUCGUUCAGCAAACUAGGCUAUAGAACUUCACAGUUGCACUCCAUGGAAGAAGAGGAGACUAUGCUCCAACCUACUACGGUGACGUUCCCAAAGCUUUGGACACCGGCAAAUAUCCUCCACCAAUCCCAAAAUACGCAGAAGGAUAAAAGGUUAGAGUGAAAAAGGAAAGAAAGAAAAGGCGUAGGAUUAUUGAAAUACUGUAUUUGUAUUGUUUAUAUGCAGUCUAUCUAAACGGAAUUCAUCGUAUACUAACAUCGAGCAACUGACCGCCUGGUUGGCGAAUGGCGGACCGGUUAGAUUCUUCAUGUCCCCUUUCCUCAGAGGAACUGCAAAAAAUGAAAACCACCUAUAGCAACCAUCAAAAGCAAGUUAGCAAGCUUAGACCUCCAUUUUUUUUCUAUGCAAUCAUUCAGGAUUUUUUUUUUUUACCGGCUUUCAUGUUUCCAAAAUUAUUGGAUCUAUAUAAUGUGAAAAUAGACAUAAUUCAUCCAUAAAAGUGUAUAAAGAAUAGAUGGAAAUCUAAACUAUAUGAUCGGCUUCAUUGCCGGGCACCGGGCACCAGCUCACCAUAUCGAUCAACAAGGCUUGAGACCACAAACAAAAUCAGCAAACAAUUAAAAACAAAAAACUCAAUAAUUUGAAAGCACAAACAGAUCCAUUAUAAUCAUUAGAUACAUACAAUGUAAACGUUAGGUGAAUGGAAAACAAGAUACACAGAAAAGACUAUAGAAGAUAAAAAGUAGCAAAAUCCAAGGGGGUGAAAAGAAUACAGUCGGAAACAAUGAUCGAUGGAUCCACGAAUACGAACUUGAAAAACAUUUCUUAAUCCUUUUGUUCAUAUUCCCUCCAUUAUUGUUCUAACAUAACACAACAACCUGCUCUUAAAAGAAUGAAUGGAGUCAAAUCAGAGAAGAUUAUGUUGUCGGAAUCAGAAUGCACCCAAAACGGGUCAACAGCAUGAGAAUCAAUACUGCUGGCAAGACCAGUCUUAUUUCCUUGGUUCCUGGAUCUUCAUCAUCAUCAUCAUCAUCAUGUACAGGCGCCUAAUUAGCCCUCUCCUUUAUGGAAUUCACAAGGAGAUGAAACCCUAGCUUAAGAAUGAUACAUGCGACAUAGAGAAUAAUACAAGAGCUCCUGAAUAUUGUUAUUGUUACCUUUUCCCUUUUCUUCUAUCAUGUCUUUACAAGAAACAGUUUGUCUUUUGGCUCCCCCACCGUCAUAGAUGGAAAGAAGAGAUCUAGACUAGCAUGCAGGCCUCAGGGAGAGGUGGUUUGACCUGGAGCAAGGCAUGCUGUUGCGACCAAAAGGCAUGUAUGGCCAGAACCCGGUCCAGAAGCUCUUGAGGAACCGGCUCCCCCCUCCUUUGCUGAGGAGAUAUUCUUGCAGUGUGCACCAAUGUCUUCCAUUUAUCCUGCAUCCACAAACCCCUUUAUGAUAAUCUACUACAAGGGCACAAUAUGUAACUUCUCCAUUUAGGCAAACAUAAGUACACAAAACAAGGAGACCCGUUCCAAAAUGAAUAUCUUUGGUCAUGAUAAUACCCUAACAUGGCAUUCCUAGGAGAGCAUAAAAAUAAUGAAGAAUGAAAAAAUUCAGCAUGAGCCAAUUGUUACACGUGGCUCGAUACCCUGUUAUUCCAAAUAAUAUAUACAUCUGACCCUUUUGUGUGAGAAUGGAAAACAGAUCACUUUUGUUCGCAUAACACAAAACAACAAAAACAUUUUAAGGGAGUUUCUUUAACAAACACUAACCGCUCUUCCUUAAGCAUUACAGAAGAAGAAAACAACUAAGCUUCAGUAAUAUCUGCAUCUGGCAGUAAAGCUGCUUAAUGGCAAAAAACUAGUGCCGGAGGUUCAUGUUUAUGCAUGGCUAGGAAAAAUAGUCCAGGAAAAUGAGUUUUCUAGCAAAAAAUUUGAAGGCGCAUUUUUAUGCAUUAAGAAUUAUUGUAUCUAGAAGUUGAAUCUGACAACUAGGUGAUGCGAUUAAUUCUGAAACUUUGUAUAGACGAAAUGCAGAAUUAGGAGAUGCAAGGAAAUGUCAUACCUUCAGAUCUACAUAAGUCCGAUGCUUAGCAUUGUCAAAAGCUUGAAGUUUGACAUCUCGCCACCUGAAAUAAGAGACCGGCAACCAAAAUAAGACUAGACCCAUCAAAGAUUAGAUUCGAGGGUGAGUUAUCAACAGACCUUCCAGUUCCAAGCUUUUCAACUGCGUGGACUAGUGCUUCGACUUCAGAGACAGAAAAUGGCCUCCUAAUCCUACGUUGAGUAAGCUCAGACAGUCUUGGUUGAUGCAAUGGAACCAUGGACAAGGCCUCAAUGCUCAUGGCUGGGACAGCAACUAGAGCACGUGAAUUUGAUGUUGUUGCUGUUGCUGCUGUUGGUGUUGCUACUGCUGCCUUAUUCAGUAAUUUAGUUUCUGUAGGAGAGUAAACUGAAUCAUGGUCACUCUCAGGCAAAUUCACUGCAGAGUUCGGCCAAGGCUCCGGACUGGCAUUAAAUAUCUCUGGAACUGGUGCAGGAGAAACAGCUGGAAGCCUUAAACGUAAAUGGGAAUUUUUAAAAAAGGGUCACAAAAUUAAUUUUAUGAACAUAAUUUCAAAUGCUAAAGAGUUAAAUGCAAUUUAACAGUCUCAUAGGACAUAUGGGAGCUAUAUAAAUUUACAGACAAAUUGGUAACAAAUAUGAGUAUCACAUUUAAUGUGACUAGUUUUGUUUUUUCCUUUUCCAGAUCAGCAGCUGUCAAAAAUAGGACAGGAACAGAUCCUAAUCAUUCAACUUCCAAAAUAGGAAAUUAGAUAAAUCUAUUAAAAUACAUACUAAGUUGGUAAAACAGUGCGUCCAAUUCACCAUAGCGUUUAGUGAACUGCAGUCUGAAGUAUAGACAUGAAAUUAAGGAGGACUACCACUUAUGUUGUGAGAACUAGAAAGAAGACAGUUGUAGUUAUAACUGUGGAAAGUUUCAGAGUGACACUACCUGGCUAAUGGUUCAGUAGCAUUAUAGGGAAGAAGAGAAUGUGGGUAUUCAGGGCUUGUGACUGAUGAAGCUCCUGUAGAAUUGGGCUCCAGCAUAAAGCCCAAAUUGUCCAUCUUAUCAACAUGAGAUAUUCCAGCUUGGAGUAGGGUUUCGUUAUCAUCUCUAACCUCCUUUCCUUGCAGUAGAACUCCCACAUGCAAUCCACCUCCAAGAAUAGCUGUCACAGCCUCCAUGACUGUCCUCUACAACAUAAAACAUAGAAUAGAGAUUUACCUCGACAUUCACAAAGGCCAUGUUCCUAGCCUCUGAAAGUAUAUAUAGAUGACUGAAGCGUAGGAAGGCGCAAAAUCAUAACAUGAAAAGGAAGCAAGAAAACCAAAAUAAAGAUCAGAAUUCGAAGUUUAGAACCAACCAAUAGUUAGACCAAUAUAACAAAUAUUAAAUAUAUGCAGGUAGAUAGACAAAAAAAAUGACAAAUGCAUGACUCAUGAACCAGGUUGUAAAUAUUAAGUCAUCAAUCCGUGACUAAUCCUUUUAAGACAUAUCUAUGGCUGUGCACCUUCCUUAAAUCAAUGGCAAGAUUCACACUUCAGAUGAUAAUAAGGGUAUUGGAGGAACAUUGAGUGCACCACAUUGCCCAUAGAGUACAAAACUGUAGUAUGUAUCUAAUGAAUUUGAUAAAAUGGGGUAAUGUGCACAAUGUAUCAGAGAUUAGGACUGAAAUAAACUGACAAGAAGGAUCAUAUACCUUAAGCGAACCAACAGUAGCAGUUUCCGGAAUCUCUAUGAAAAGUUCUGGCACCUUGAAUGAUUUGAUACUGAGUUUCACUGCUAAAGAAAAGACCUUGUUUCUCAGAGACACAUAAUGAAAGGGUCAAACAAAUGCAUGCCAAUAAGUCAAAUAUUAGAAAUCAUCAUCCUUCCAUCAAAACUUAUCAUACCAUGGAAAUCUUCAGAUUUAUGCAAUGCUAUUUGACCAGUAGCAGAAGAUGAUGUCCCAUUUUCUGCAAAGGAUAAAGUUUUUUGUUUAAAACUCCUAAAAUUCAAAAGGGAGGUAGGGAUGAUAAACUACAAAAGAACUUAACAAGGAGAUACCUCCAUGCAGAGCAGCAUGUGAAUUGUUUGUUAUAUAGUUCAUUUCUUUUUCAAAUGAGUUACAAAAGCCUUUGCUACUAAUUCCACCAUCAGAUGGUGAUAUCGAGCAGUGCUCAAACACCUUUCCCGUCUUAAAUGAAGGCCUCUGAGUCCUUCGGCGUGUGUAACAAAUUUUCCUACUGUGAGAAGCAGGCUUCAUUUCUACAUCCGAUUAAAAAAAACUUCUAGUUUAUGAGGUAUGCCAUCAUAUGAACAUUAUUUACCAAAAAAUAAGACAUGAAAACAAUCCUGACGUCAUCUUCUGACAGGCAGGAAAAAGUCAUGGAGUUAGUCAGCAUACCAGUUCUAGAAAACACCUUUCUUAUUUUAUGAUAUUGAGGCUUCAAGGCCGUAUAAGUUGUGGUGCUAGGAUUAGUGCACCCAGAAGAGUUUUCGUCAUCAUCUCUAUUUACAGCUAGUUCCAUAUUAUCCUGGCAAAUGGGAUAGGAACUAAUACGAGGAAUCUGAUGCCCAUGCAGGGGCAUCUCGAUACUGCUGUCUGAGCUAGACAAAGCAGGGGGUUUAGCAUCUCGCUCCAUUGGAUUGUCCAAACUCCAAGCGUGCUGGAUGUUUUUACACACUCCAGUUUCAGCUUCAUGCUGCUCAGCUAGGAAUGGCGUCUUUAUGUCAUCCACCAUUUCAGCUUCACAAGAUUCUGCAGAACCAGGAGAAUGACUUUUGGUGCAACAUUUCUUGGCAGUUGUGCCAAGAGAAUAUCCAAAUUCUUCUUUGCUGCCAUUAGCUAUAAAAUCCCCAGUACAGGUAUCCUUGUUCAAUAUAUCAGAUUUUAGAAUGGCAGAAGUAGGUCCGGAAGUUGUUGCAUUUGGACUUUGUGAAUGUUCCUUCAAAGUCUGGGUGAUUUGCCUCUGGAUGGGAAGUUCAGAACCAGAUGUACUUUCAUUACAGCUUACUUGAUCAAAAGGUUCAUCUUUGCAAAACUUUUCUUCAUCUAGUUGCUCUUGCUUAACAUUCUGGUUAUAGUUUCCAACUAUGCCAUUCACAGUCGAAGAAUUAUCUCUCUCUAGUACCUUCCCUGCUACAGCUAUGAGCAAGUCAAAUGCACACAUUCGGUUAUCCACCACCUUCCUUCUAACUGAACGCUUUCCCUGUAAUUCAAUUGUAACAAGUUAACGAAAGUUUACAGGGAAAAGGCCCAAGCAAAUGGCUAGUGACAGAAAACAAAACCUUGGCUGAUUUUGGUAUUCGGGGCAUUGCAGGAACCUGGUAACCAUUGAAACUGCAUUCCAACCUCUUCUUAAACACCAUAUCUCAGAGAUUCAUGUCCUCAAGAAGCUCAGCAAACUGUAAGAAACAACAUCACUGUAUUCACGACCCUUCUUCAGAUGCAAAAAUGCAGACACACACCAUACGCAGGUUCAGUUGCUCCAUUAAUCUGUGCUGCAACAAAAGAAACAACCCGCAAAGUGCAAACAAAGCAGAAAUUGGAAUCUGUGAAAAACAGAUGCUUCAAUGGUUGCAAAAAAUAAAAAAGGUAUUUGAACCAACCAUGAAGCAUAGUGGCUAGGGAUACAGAAUCAAAUAUGAAGUUGCUGAAAGUAAAAUCCCAACGCUUAGCACUGGUCUCUCAGAAGCACACCAAAACUUUAUUGUUUGUAAAACUACCAGAUGCAUGGCGUUACAUAUAGUGUCAUACAUCACAAAAGAUUCAUUUUCAACAAAAAAAAAAAACUGAGAUUGAACAGACUAAGUAUCAGAGUUUCUAAGAGAAAAACUACUAAAAAUGUUUGAUCCUUAUUGCAGUAAUUGUUCAGAAAAAGCAUGUGUGCUUCAAAUUCCCAUAUACAUAUUUAACAGCCAAUCUCGAUUUCUUAUAUAUUGUCCAAAUCCCGACAAACUGCUAAGGAAUCUAAAAGCUGUAAGAAGGAUUCUGAUAGAUUUAACGAACAACAGGAAAUCUAAUUAAUGGUGGAAAUCCAAAAUAGGAUCACAAGCUUCGCCUGCAAGCGUAAGAAAUGGAAAAAGGUGCGAGAAUUAUGAAGCACCGUAUUAAAACCAAAAACCUCCCAAAACCAUGAGAUCUUAAACAAAGAAUAUAAAUUUAAAGCAGAAACGGAUCAAAGAUAUUGCCUUUAAGCUCCUCGGAUGAUCCUUAGAUCAGCUCAUAAUUAACGAAAGUCAUCCUAGAUUGAGAAUCUUUGGCAUCUUGCAAAUAAUUCCUGCAAGUUGUAAUAUAAAAGAAAACUCUUCUUCCCUCCACCUAAAGCACGAAAAGAAAAAAACAUACAGCACCAAGAAACCUGUUUUAAAAUGAUCAAACGAGAUCGAAUACAAAAGGAAACGGGAAAAAGGUAACAGGAUCAGGAAACCCAACACAAGGAAAUCAAUUGACGGAGAAUUCAACAAAAGACAUGAAUUCCAGAAUGAAAAAUCAGAUCUUGAUCGUCUUGUUGAUGCUUUUCUUUACAAAAGAAACAGAUUUCGGGAGAAAAAUCCCUUUCCUCACUAGAUCAAUCACGAGGAAACGCAGGCUCGUCCAUAAGAAAGCAAAACCAACAAGGAAAAGGAAACAAAAACGAAAUUCAACGAAUUUUACAAGGACGGGAGAGAAAGUAAUUGGAAACUAGCAGUCAUAAGUCAUAACCCAUCCAUCCGAAGAAUAAGCGUAAGCAACGACAUGGAAUUCGAUCCACUCCUCACCUCCGGUAGAAAGAUUUGUUCGGAGAACUGCAUCCAAUACGUCAAUAUUCUCGCCCUGGGGGGAGAUCGCCGCGAAAUAAAAUAAUUCCGGCCAAGUACGGCAUCGAAGAGAACGCCGGAUUCCGAGAAAACCAAUCUAAUUCAAAAUUCGCUUCAUGCACGCAAUCUAAUUUUCCACCAAGAAAUCUCUAAUUUGGACGAAACCUAACCUCUUUUCCAUUUCUAAUCGCUCUCUCUCUCUCUCCCUCCGAGAGUUCGCCGAAAACCCAUAAAAACCACCAUUCUUGUUUUCUUAAACCUCAGCUCUUAUGCCAUGGACCCCUGGGACCACCGAGUCCUGCACUGAUGCACGCCGUGUGUACAGUUCCAGCCAUCGUACGGUGGUUAAUGAGGGAGAGCUUUCGCGGUGACGAAUCCCUCCCGUUUGGUUAGAGACGUGAUGUGGCACCGGCUUUGCUAUAAUUUUUGUGUCCGGAUCAAGAAAACUCCCCUAAAUGUCAUUGUUUUAAUCAUCCAGCCUGUGGUUCAAAUCACAAUUAGAACCGUAAGACUUGAGUUAGUAUAUUGAUGAGCAUUAAAUCUUAUGGAUCGAGUUAUGAAGGCCGUUCAAAGUUGAAAAUUUCAUGAAUAACUCGGGAGGCCGUACACGUUAACAUAGCUGCUUUAUAUUUCUCGAGGCUUAGCUGCGGAGGACGGCGCAUAUUCCAUGGGUUAGUUGGCAUGAGCUUUAUGAUUAGGGAUCAUAGAUUCAGAUUAGUGACAAUCGGAGGAUGAUGCAUAUUCGACGGGUCUGUUUUGUGGCGCAGAAUUGAGAGCAACCUAUGAGGGCAUUACAUACGCCAGGACCGUGCUGGAAGCGGACUGCAUCCAUCUCGAAGAAAACACUGCUACAGUGAUUGGCUGGAUCCAGCAGAGUAUUGAUGGGCACAGACGGGGCGACUGUGCACCUACUUCUGCGUGAUGUACAUGAAGUGGUGCGGGAGCUUGUGGCUUUUCAAACCAUUCAUAUAUUUCGAGAGGCAAACAAUGCAGCUGACUGGGUUGCCUUCUUCACGACAUACCACUUAGGAGAGUUUUUUUGGGACAGUUUUGAGUCCAGCCUUUUUCUCUUCCGCCUUCUUCUUUUUUUAUGACUUGUAUGGGUACACCUGCGCUUGUAUAGCAUGAGGCACCAUUGUAUAAAAAAAUAAAAUAAACGUGCACGUUAAUAUGCAUCAUUCAUUCAUUCAUUCAUACAAGCAAAACAUGAAAAUUAUAAAGAAUGUAUGAACAAGACGCUAAUCCUGGUAUAAGAUGGUCCAUUAUGCUAGGAACUGCUGCUUCUUCAUGGAAAUAAAGGCCGUUGAUCCGGGGAUAAGGGGGAAAGGUGAGGCGAGAGGGGCGGACGUAGCUUUGUGCGGUCGGGAGGGAGUGGGGUCCAGGCGGAGACCGGGGGCUGUCGAAGGCGAGAAGCGGGGGGGUUUGGACUUUGGGAUUACGGUUAUCCCGUGUCAAACGUGGAGACCGCAUCCCGCGAGAUGGGCGGUCCGCCAUGUUAACCGGGACACCCUAUCCACGCGACGCUAUGCCACCUUAUGCGCUCCUCCAAAGUCUAACCAAAUAUUCUGUUCAUGGGCUCAAGCUUGACGCCUUUUGGACGGGCUUGAGCGAAGGGUCAGGCUUGGCGCAAUGGGUCGGGCCUGAAACAUUAGUCUAUUUAGUAAAUAGGUCAAACUCCGGUUGAGGGAUCAAAGCCCCGUCAAAUCCUGGCCUGACUUGAAAUUUGUUGUUAUGAUAUUUUUUUUUUAUUUAUUUAUAUUUGAUGUAUCUGCAAACUUAAUUAACAACUAUUGUUGAUAUGUAAACUAAAUGGAAGAAUAUCUAAAAUCUUAGAGUACCUUUUUUUUUCCAAGCAAUAAAAUUACCAUUGACAAUAUUUAGUUAUUCAUAUUUAGUAUUUUAAAGUAUUUAAAAAAAUAAUAAUAAUAAAAAAGGUUGAGAAGUCUCAGACCUAGUCCAAGUAAGGGCUAAGCUAGGGCCUAGAAAAUAGACCCAAAGGCCUAGCCAAGCCCAGCUCAGGCCUAAGUAAAAUAUGUUAACCUUCUUCGAGCAUAAAGCAGGAAAUUUCAUGCAUUUUAAUUGAAUUUGCAGUGCAAACCACUAUGAUUUCUUUGAGAAAGAAAACACGGAAAUUUCUGCCACUUUAGUUAUGUUAUCAACAAGGCAAAGGGAGCGAGGCGGACCAUUAGAUGCGUCAUGUCCUAUCUUUAUCAUUCCACUGUUUCAAAAGAAGAGAAGUUCUUAGAGUUCAGGAUAUGUUGCAUGUUUUAUAGACUAGUAGCUGAAAGCAUCAGUAUUUCUUUAAUUAUUAUUUGAUUUAAUUUAGUUUAAUUUAAUUUUAUUUUGAGAAUCGGGAUGGAAGUUCGACCAAAAUCAAGAUGAUAAUGAGACCGAUCUAGGUCAUUGAUGUACAAUGUAAAGUGACUUAACCCACUCAAUCAGAUGGCAGCCUAAGAGCAUCAAUGUUGAUUUUUUUUCAUAAAAAAUAUAAGUAAAAAAACCAUCCGUCGUCGUAUUAAAUAGUAGCCAGAAAUUACACUAUUUUUCUUUUAUCAUUAUUAUAAAAUGACUUAUAGGUUGCUGCGUUGCUACACCUAUAAUACUCAGAAUCCAGCAAUUCAAACAUUAUAAUAGCAACUAGGCCUUGUGGGAAGCUUGAUUCUUGGAUCAAAACCUUCUCAGAAGAAAUGGCUAGAUUAGUAACCUAGCCUGCAGUCAUAUUUUCUUGAUAAAAGACGCAAGAGAUGUACAUAUCCUCUAGUUGCCAUUGCAUAUCAUGGAUUGGAGAAAGACAAGGACUGUAAGCAUUCACUACAUCACCUUGUAACCGGAUAAACAUAAUUUUUGAUCACCUUUAAUCUAUAGUUUAGUAGCUUGUGACUUAUGAAUAGCAUAAAGAACUCCUAGCCAAGCAGCAUGCAACUCUUCUGAAGGAAUACGGACAUCCAAGAUUGGUGCAUGAAAAAAUAGUUUGUGUCCAAGAUUGGGGUCUAUGAGAAUAAAGCCAAAAACAUACAACAAAUUUCUAAAUGUUAGAUCAGAUAUUAUUCAAAAUCAUUACAAUUCUAGGUAAUUUUCAGGAAAAUUAAUGAUGCAGCAUUUAUUAACCUGAGGUUGAGUAUUUCAGUAUUAAUAACUUUUGAUAUCUUUAAGUUGGUAAUACAUUACAAUUUUCUAGAAAAUUCCCUCCCUCCAAAUAAAGAGAAUAAGCAAAAGAAAGAAAAAAUUGAAGAGAGAGAAUGAAAAGGGAUUGUACAGCAAAGAGGGGAGUUCUUUGAAGCACCUUAGCUUUGGCAUGGUGAGAAAAGACGAUGUCAUCAGUCAAAAUCUAUGGUAUGCCCAACGGCACCUUUUCUAACAUGUUUGCGUAUUCACAAUUUUAUCAAAGACAACAUUAUUUGAUCAUUUUGACUCUCAAAUCGGGUUGCUGGUGUCAGAAAUUUAGAAAGAAAAAGAUGUUUUUAUUCUAUAUAUUUUUUUAGAAAAAACAAAAAUGAUACCGAUGCCAAAUGUAGCCCUAAGUCUAUCACAAACAUAAUAUUCAAAAUUUGUAGAAUUUUAAGAGGCAGCUGGCAUAGCAAAUCCAUGUUUGGACCAUUAAAAAUUCUAUCGAUAGUUAUGGUGGAUAGAGUUCGUAUAUGUAUCCUUGUAUAUGCAUGUACACAUACGUCAAACAUUGAUGAAAUGCACCUUCUGGUGCUAUCUGUGGGUGCAACAGAGAAAUUCCAUUGCUUAUCAAGGUGAGGGCACCCAAGCUUAGCCUAACUAAUCUUCUAAUGAAGAUUACAUCAUAGCCACUAGCUCAUUAUUAUUGUCUAUUGAUAAGAAUUGGGUAGGCAUAGGUCCUCUAUAGUACAUGAGUCCCGCAAUCAGAAGAUGAACAACCAUCAAAUCAACCAACAAACAUCAUGUAUAAUAUGGUAUGUGCUCAUAGACCGCCUUGUUUGAUGACUAUCCAUCUUCUGAAGGCAGUGCACAACAUUCUUCGGUGUACAGGUUUGGCCAUUUGAUAAAGAAGUGGAUCGCACGAAUCAAGGGUCCACAUGCAGCUGAAAAGAAUAUAUCGCUUUUGGUCCCUACCUUUUAUAAGUUUUAUUUGAUAACGAUCUGAUGGCAAAGAAGAGGACUUUCUCGCCUACUUCGACACUGAUGACGCUCAUUCAAAACGCAGCUGGGCCGGAGGGCCCCACCUCAUCCUGCCCCCAGCCUCUAAGUCUAGCCCUUGCACAUAUGUACAUGUCUCCAAUAUUUUAUAAGAAUUUCUCUGCCAUCAUCUUCUCGUGGUUGGAUGUAGUAAUAAGGCAACAAUUAUAUGACAAAUUGGUAGUUGACAACCAACCAUAUAAACUAAUAAUACUCAUGAUUUGUUCUCAUCUGGAAAAGAGAAAAAAUGAGCCUAUGGUCCCACCUACCAUUCGAAAGAAACACAGACAAAUUAAGGCCAUGGCAUGUGUUGUUAUACCUGUGGCUGGGGAUGAUUGGUCCCAGAGAUCAUAAACUGGGGUAAAGCCUCCCUAGUUUCUAAAAGAGUUUUGGCGCUAUUUUCUUUUCUUUCUUUUUUUUUGGUACAACAAAAGGGAAGAGGGGAGAGAGGAAGAUCUCUCCAGCAUAACAACCCCACACUGCCCCCCCUCCCGCAGGAGAAUGUUCGAUGCAGAUGGACAAAUUUUACUUAUACCCUCUCCUACCCGUGGGUUACCCCACGUGUGAGUACGUCACAUCUACACCACCUAAGUACCGGCGGACCAGAUAGCGAUUUCACCGGAUAAACAAGCGGGGGGCAUCCGGUCCCGACAUUUAAUCGACGCCCGCGCGUUUCGAACCUAGGCCACUCCAGUGAAAUCAAAGCCUCAUUUCCACCGUGCUACCACCUCGGUGAUGUUUUGGUACUAUUCAUCUGCUAUCACGGUACCAUGAUAUCUAGGUCUCGAAUAACAUAGUAAUACUGGGAAUAAUUGCAGCAGCAGCAGCACAACGGAUAGUUGAAAUCUUGGUGCUUUCUGAGAGAUUAUGGCUCGAACGCUUGGAUCAUGCUUGAUGGAAAUUAGAAGGUGGGUAUGGGUAUGUGUUUCCCAUCUAAUUUAGUUUCAUGUUUGAUAAAUCAUUUUUAACAUGGAUUUGCUGAUUUCCAUCGUAAAAAUGUUUCGAUACGUAAUGAUGACGGUGGCAUUGUGAACAUAUAAAAUGGAACAACAGAUUCCUACUGGCUCCUCCUGUUUGAGGUAAAAUAAUUCCAUCUCUUGGUUUUUUUUUUUUCUUCCAGGAUAAAAUGAGGGGCAACUCCAUUCCAUAUCAUACAUUUCUGGAGUAGAAACAGCACCCAAGUGUCAAACAAGAAGUAAAACAGCCCUUUCUCCCUCUAUACAUUAGAAUGAAAGAAAGCAUACCCAUGGGACUAGGGAGCCGGGAAGGACUGCCCUUUGCGAGCCAAGAAAAGCAGGUUACCGAGGGAGCCAUCGUCGUCCCAUAACAAUUUAUUGGCAAUUAGAAAUGCAUGCCACCAGAGGCCCACCACAAACAUUCGCCAGACAAUGGAAUUGUCUUCUAAUAACCCGUGAAAGAUCAAUGUGAUAUAUGACAAUGUGCACACCAAAUAUUCCUUUAGGCCAGCUACUUAAUGUCUUGGAUUUAGUUGAAACAUGAAAUGGCAAAACUUCUUACUUGUCAGAGAAUGUUAGAAAUUUAACUCUAAAAGAUGUGUCACCAUAAGAUGCCUCACCAUAUUGUACAGAGAGGCCUUUUAAGUAUAUGAAGUUGGGACCAUCCACCCACUGAGAGUCGUGAAAGCAGCGCUACCCACACUUUUAUUUUUCUCUCUUUCUGAAAAAAUUACAGUUUCACCUUUUUCAAAUUUCGGCUAAUCUCGUGUACGCUCCCUUAUUCUUUUUUUUAUUUAAAAAAUCACCCUUAUUUUUUUUUAAAAUAAAAUAACCUUUCAAAUUCUAAAAGUAUUUCAAAAUAAAGCUCCAGCUUGCCCGACUAGCCCAUGCUAUUAGCAUAUGAUAAAAGAUAAAAGAGUUCUUUGCACGAAUACCCUUCUAAAUAUCAAAUUUUACAUGAAUAUCCUCCUAAACCUGAUAUUUAUAUGUAUAUCCUCGUAAAACACUUAUUUCGUUAUUCUACCUUUUUCUAAUCCUCAUUUUUUGUACAUGUACCCAUGUCAUCUAACGCCAUUAAAAAAUUAACAAUUUCAAAAUAAAAUGACUAAAACAUCCUUAAUGGGUAGAUGUGCAAAAAAAAUAUUUAUAAAAGACAAUUACGAUGAAAAAUAAAAAAAUAAUUUUUAAAUUAUAUUUUAUUUUUAAUUAAAAUAAAUAUGAUUUUUAUUAACAAUAUUAGAAGAACCGUUAUAUUAGAAACAUUUGUGGAAAAACAAUAUUUUACGAGAAUACAGAAAUAAAUAUAAAUUUUAAAAAAUUAAUAUUUGUACAAAUUUAAAUUUUUAGAAGAAUAUAUAAAUGCAAAAAAAACUCAAAAUAAAAAGACGCUCCCUCAACAAAAAUAUCCCCUCCCUCCCACAUCCGGGCCUACAUUCAAAACCUCCACACCAACAGCUUCCGCCUCUUGGAGAUGGCAUUCGAGAUGGCACAUCUAAGACCUCCACCACACCAGCAAGAACACGUUAUUUCUCAACGCAUACGAGCAAUCCCAGCAAUCCCUUCGACGUGACGUUUCUUAGGGGGGAAAAAAAGAGCACCAAGAAGAAAUAAUCCACUUCGAUAGAUAAAUUUACAGCAGCAAGAGAAAACAGGGAGAGUAGAAUAAAAAAGAGGAGCUCCGUGGAUAACUAUACCCCUAUCCCCAUGGCUAUCCCCCUCCUCCCUACCACCUGCCGCCCCAUCGCUACGUCCACCCAUCCAACUCCUCUUUCCCUCCCAUGAAUCCAUUCCCACAAUUCUACCGCUCCGACCAUUUGCAUUACCCCCUUGCCUUUUCUCCUCUCCCUUUCCCUCCUAUGAUGCCUGCUACAAUCCCCACCCCAAUUUCUAUCCCCCCAACCCCAACCCUUAUUCCUCCCCCCUGCCAUUCCAUCCCCUAUGAUUUCCAUCCCAAUUCCCCCAGCCUCCACCGCAUCGAUAGCUCCCACCAUGAGUCCAUCGCCUCUUUCAGACCGUCCCUCAUUCUCCGACAGCUUCACCACCCAUAGUGCAACCCCGACAAUCCUUCACCCUCCGCCGGCUCUCGGCCUCUCCCACCACCAUCUUGUUUAGGGUUCACCCGGACCAGAGGAAAAAGCCGGCGGCGACGAUGGGCGGCAUCAUGAUAGAGGAGCAGCACGCACAGGCAGCCUCCCACCACCGCUCCAUAAAGAAGAUUAAAGUCUACCUCCAAACAAGAAGGUAUCAGAAGUAUUUUUUGUCCUACAACUUUAUGCUAUGCUAUGAUGCGAUAGCCGGCACCACUUUAUUAACAGAAAUAAAUAUCCGAAUCAUUUUAGAAUAAUUUGAAAACUCAAAAGAUCGCUCCCAAAAUUCUUAAAGAUGAGGGAGUGUGUACCAGAUUUCCCUAAACUUGAGUUUAGGGUGGAACGUUAUUUUCCUUUUUGUUUUUUUACCUGUAAAUUUCAUGGCUAUCUGCAAUAAAGCUCUAAAAGUUCCGGGGAAAAUAACAUGACAGGUAACUCUAGCAGACAAAAGAAGUCCUGGAAAGUAAGAUCAAAUUUAGACACCCAACAAGCAACAACACCUUUUGAACCUGGAAAGCGUGCACAAACAGCCAACCAAACGGGUCUGACCUCAUCAUAUUCAAGCCUUGUAACACCCUAGGAAACUUGAAUUAUACUUGUUGCAAUAUAAAUUAUACACAAAUGGACAUUGCAACAACUUUGGUGCUCAAAUAAAAUUCAGUUUCUGGAAAGAAAUGCAAGCAUGAUACAAUAAAAACAGGUUAAAAAGGAGAGGAAAUCUCACAAUGUAAAGCAAGCUUCUAAGAAUAACUAAUAGACAAAUAUAUGAAAGUGCACACAACCUCAAGCUAAGUAACAGUAAGCCAUACUAAUUCAAACCAUCAGCGCACCACACCAAAUACAGAACAAUAUAUAGCUCAAAUGCAUUUGUAAAUGAAGGAAAUAGGGAGAUAGCAUGCAGAUCCGAUACUUCAUUUGGUGGAUACAUUACCGUACUGCCAUGGGUUAAAUUCAAUUGAUUUGAUGUCAACCUCCUCAAUGGAAUCUGAGUUAUCAAUCAUAGCCCUUUGUUCAGUGUAUUUACCGUUGUACUCGUAUACUUCCAAGUCUCCCCAAGGUGUCGGAGUAAUUUCACCAGUCAAGUUGAACCAUCUUGGAGUGAAUUGGUGCCCAUUUGCUUCUCUGUUUCUUUUUUCUGCUCUCUGCCUCUCCUCCAGACUGAGAACCAACCACAUCAACCAUAAGAAAUGCAAAAUGUAAAAGAUACAACAUGUACUUCAGUGGCAGCAAAGUUCGGCAAAUGCAUUCAAGCUUUAGGUUGUGUGCAACAAUGGAAGGUGCAAUUUUUCCCUCAGACAUCCAGUGUCAUUUACUAAUGAAACCAAACUUCAGCGACGAGCACUCUUUUAAGUUUUAACAUGUUCAGUAAUGCAACCAAAGUUGAAGGCACAUGAACUCGGAUAUAUGUGCAAACAUACCUGCUCUUUUCUGCACCAGAUUUAGACAUAUCACCCUUCUCAAGUGCAUAUCUAUCAGGCCGCAAUCGGGAAUCUGAUGCUAAUAACUUCUUAGGUGCCGUGUCAAAGCUGUUUAUUUUAUGGGCAAAGUAUGUGUACUGGUAUUUGUCAUUAUCCGGUGUGGCAGCAACCCUCCAGACCUGGAUUCAGAUAUCCAAAUAUUUUACCAAUUACUGCAGCUAGAAGAAAAAACUCUAGAUGUGAUUGGAUAAUAUGGAAAGCAAAAUGAACCAAGCCAUCGAUGCUGCAGAAUUAGUGACAUCUGCUUGGCAUAUGGAUCAGACAAAAUGAAGUGCAGAAUUUAAAAAAUUGAGCUAUAAAGAAGCCUUGAUAGAUAACCUGAACUGCAAAAUGUAAUUCCUAAUCAAGUAAACAUGUACUAGUCAAGCAAGUUUAUGCAGGUUUUUCAUAAAUUAAAAACCAUAAGUUCCUACUUGAUAAAUGACUAAGUUGCUGGAAGCUUGAAGGUCGUAAUAACUUGCAGCCAUUUCCAAUUCCUGAAUUAUUUAUUUUUUUUUUUGCAAGGGAAGAAGCCCACAAUUUUUUUUCCACGCUCCAGUGAACCAGUAACAGAAAGAAGAAAAGCACUAAUUCUUAAUUAUUCUUUUUACCAGAUGGUGCACCAGAGAGAGAAAUAUACUGUCAGAAAAGUGCGACAUGGAGGGAGGAUUAACCAAGAUCUAGCCUAUGGUGAUGAUGCUUCUUCAGAGUAUUGAGAUACGACGGACCAGAUAUCCAGCAGCAAGGCUUGACAUAACAUAUGCUACAUAUCCAGCAGCAAGGCUUGACACAACAUAUGCUACAUAUCCAGCAGCAAGGCUUGACAUAACAUAGGCUGCUUUUCUGAAACAGGGUAGCCCUAAUAUUUUUGGUUGUCCAGUGCCUUGUAGCUUUUACGUUUCAGAUAACUGCUUUAACAAGCAUGAACAACAAGGUAUGAUCGACCCUGGCCAUCAGGCAACUUUUGUUUAUUUCAUCCCUACUAUGAAAUAAAUUAGAUCAGUCUUCAUUCACCUUCCCCUUCAGAGGAAAAAUAAGAUAGCAAAAGUAUAGGAACACUUGUUCAUUCAUGCACUCACAAUUUCUAUUGCUUGGUGUCUAGAUCUUGAAAACGUAGCCAGAUGUGAUUUUUUUUUUUAAAUUCUAAAAUUUACAGAUUUUUAAGAGUGUAAGAUAAAGGGGGUUGAGAUUUGACUACUCUCUAAUCAGCAUGGAUUUGGACAAAUUAUGUAGCAACUCUUCUUUUUUUAAAAAAAAUUACAUGUUAAGCUUCCAUGCUAGGACUCUAAGAAACAGAUGCAAGAGAGAUUAGGUAGCACUGGGACUCUAAGAAAAAGAUAAAGUUAAAAGUUGAACAUUUUCUUUCUCACAUGCUUAUCACAUAAGCAAACCAUGGAAUGCCUUCCCCUUCAGAGGUAUUACGGACACUCUGGAAGACCUCUUGUAUAUAGUAUAGAUUUGUUUACUUUUACUAAGCUAAAAUUACUGACUUGAUACUUGUUGUUGAUAGCCAGCAAAAUUCUUCUACUACUGCUUCUGGGUUAAACUAACUUGCGAAUGCUGACUGAAUGCCCUAUUCCGCCUAAUACAUAUUGAAGAAAUUUCUUUCAGAUUUUUGAUUACUUACAUGAACCUCCAGUAUACUGCUGAUAACAUUUUAGGUUCUGACAGGAAAUACUGUAACUAAUCUAGAAUAUAUACGAUCUUCUUGUCAUGGCUGCAGGACUGUGUAUUUCCAAAUUUCAAUAGGCCGAACCAAAAUAUCAUAAAUUUGUAACUGCAUGCAAGGCUAUUAGCAACCCUACUUCUAGAUUCAUAAAAACUAAUACACAUCAUUUGAAAUAUAACAUAUUUAAAAGGCAGUGGUGUUAGAAGGAAUCCAACUAAUUUGAUAAAAAAUAGGAAAAAGGUGUAAACUUUGUAAUUUCAAAAUAAAAAUUGAAUAGAAGAGUAGCAAAACUACUGAGCCAUAACAAGGAAAUUCUGAAAUGCCGUGAAGCAGGAUUGUAUCAUACAUAAAGCACCUUGAACACAAACCUGAAAUCUUGAUGCAACAUCCUUCAAAUUAUAUCCAGUUAUACACAAACUUGUUAAGAACCUUUUCUUGUUACAUGUGAUAGUCCAAUAUGCCUUAAAAUUUCUUAGUUGCUUUGGUAUCCCCUUCCAUUGCCUCAAUCGACAGUGUUUACCUAGAGACAACAACUCUAGCCACAGAUAUUGCACGACUUGGUCGGCAUUCAGAUGCUCAUCUUUUCUUUUGGUUAAUUGCUCACCACCAAAUCUGUAGCACUGGGAAUUAAAUCUCUUCACAGUUAUUUGCUCUAGAAGGAUUUUGAAAUUUCAAGUAUCAUGAUUUGUAUACACGCUUAAACCUACAUCAGAUGUGAUAUAUGCAUCCCCUAAAGCUCAAGAAGAAAACAUCGUGAAAUGUUUAGAAUACUUACAUAAUGCGGGCUAUCAAGUAGAGAACUCCUCUUGCCAACUAUAUAGAACAUGUCUACUUUUAUAAAGUUGGACUACACACAUUACGUUAACUCCUUUAACAAUUCAAAAUCAAUGAUCGAUCAUCCAAAUUCAAGAUCUAAAUUGCUAAACAUGAUAUACAUCACAAAAAUGUCUAAAAAUCAAAAUUCAUAUAUUUUGGUGGUCUCUAAUCUAAUCAUCAAGUAGGUAUCAAAGUGGAUACUUUUUAUAGCAUGAUACUAUGUUUUACUAUGAUUUAAUCAUUAAAACCUAGUGAAUCUAAAACUACUCAUGUUUUAAGAUGUGCAGAUCAUAAUCCAUAAAGUGAAUUUUCAAUUUAUGCGCCCAAUCAUGAAUUUUACCGCACUAGUACAAUUAAUAUCGUUAAUUUUUGUACCUAUUUGAUGCAUAGGUUAGAAACCACCAAGAUAUAAGAAUUUUAGUUUCUAGGCUUUUUUUUUAUAGAUCAUGUCCAAUGGUUUAGAUCUGUGGAUGGCCUAUCAUUGACUUUAAAAUUGUAAACUUUUUUUAUAAGGAGUUAACAUAAAGUAUAGAGUCCAACUCAUUUUUAUACCCAAUGGCAAAACUAGUUGGUAGCUUAUAUGCACAAUAUGGUAAGCACAAACAUGGUCAUCAGCACAAGGAUCGAAUGCAGCAACAUGAUAAAAUCAAUAAAUGAUGAAUAACAUGCCACAGAAUAAACAUGAUGACAAGCUACUUAAUGAAAUGAAAGAGAAUAACUAUAAAAUAAUGACAAUUUACAUAUAACAUGAAAUAGACCUCUUUCAGUUCAGUGCCUGUGAGGGGCUCUCCUUCCUGAUCACAAGGUUGGCAACUCAAUGACUCGUUCCAUUUCCCAGUCAUUAAAAUCUUAGGUUCUUCUGCUGCAUCAUAUACAUAUCCAUCCACUUCAUAUCGACCAGCCCUGAAACAAUUGGCAAUUUCAUAUAAGAUGCGGAGCAAAAAUUCACUAUAAGACCUAAAUAUGGUAUUUGGUCUGCAUUAUUAUGUAAAGUAUGCAAGUCGAGUUUUGACAUAGACUUUGCUUUUCAUUGCAGUAAAGAAAAAGUUGGCAUUAACAAUCUUUCCUUUUGCCACCAUUUUCCUUUGCAGCAGAGCAAUAUUAUUUGAUAUGCAAAAAUCAUCAACAACAAAAGCAACCUAGGUAACCAUAUCACAGGUCAUGUACAGCUCCAAGGAUAUUCCAGAGAACGACUUAACUGACAGCUUACACCACUCUUCAAUGAUGUGCUAUACUCCAGUUUUCAUUGCCCAAUGCUAUCAAACUUGAAUAUUUAUUAAACUUAGGGCAAGUCACGUGAUGUCAAGAAACAAACCAUACCCAAACCAGCCACAUGGUUGAAAAUAUAGCACAACUUUAUCUCCAGUUGUCAAAUUCGUCAUAACCAUUUCCCCAGGUGAGUCAACCCAGGUGCGCCCAAAGAUAAGGUUAUUAACCUUCGUGGGAGGGGGCACCAAAUCCACGACCACACCAGACUUCUUAAGUGUCAACCUUGUCCUGCAUCAUAGUAAAGAUAAUCGUGUAAGCAAUUGCAACACCUUAGCACCAAUUUAUGAGAGUGCGCACGCCUUUCAUAUGCUUUCUCAAUUGAAAUUGUUACAAUUUUAAUAUCAAAAUUAAAUAAAUUAAAUAUAAAGGUUAAUAAUGGAAGAUAUUGGUAAAAGUCAACACUUGAGAAUAUGUCAUGAUAAUGGCCUUUCCGGAGGAGGGAAAGAAAGAUACAUAAUGCUCACCUUCCAACAGGAUAUACCUCUACGGAGUUGCCUAAGAAUUUAGUUCUUAAUUUGGAAGUAAUAUCAUAAAUGAAGUGCUCAUUCUCAGCAUGUGCCGCGCCCAUGGGAGGAUGAUGACUCACCUAUAUUGGUAAAGAAGGAAGACCAACUACGAGUCAAUGAAUUCCUUAGAAAAGAAAGCCACUAUCAUUACUCAAUGGUAUAACAUUAUCUCUUGUGAAGAUUAGGAUCAUAUAUGAAUAGUUAUAAACCUACUCCAUAAAUUUGCAUGUGAUGUUGGAUGCUCUGCAAAUAAUGCAGAAGAAAAAUUUCCAGAAAAGAGCAAAAGAACAAUACAAAGAAUUAACAAGCAAUACCUGCUCUGCGAUGAAUGUAAUACCACCAUGAUUGACCAUUUCAUAUGUCUCCCCGAGGAUUGGAUUAAAAGGCUUCCACGUUCGUUGAUAGGCAUAGUAGACGGAUAUUGCCCAUGAAGCUGCAUAGGAUAGCCAGAAUUCUGUUGUAUCUAACACUAAUACAUGUACAGAAUAAAACGAUUCAGAAAUGUGCACUUACAAGUAUAGACCAGACGCAUGUAAGGAUCUUCACAUUCAUCUGCCAUGUCUAACAGGUAAGAGUACUCCAUUAUCUGUAACAAAAAUCACAAAAUUUAUCAUGUUGCACAUAAUUAGCAGUGUCAAAUAAUAAUAUCUACCAGCAAAGCUGGCAUGAUGGCCAACUGCAAGGAAACAUAACAAAAGAACCAUUUUUUGGUAAAAAUUUGACUGGAUGGUCCAUCUAAACUUAGCAAGCCAGAUUAUAUAGUUUAACAAAUGGACUUUCUUUUUUUUCAAUUCUGGCAGAAUUUAGAAUGAUAAAGUGGAUGUAUGAUGAGUUUAGAGAGAUAGGGGGAAAAGUGAGUAAAUUAGAUGAAGCAUGCAAAUUGCCCAUAGAAAGGACAAUGUGGUGGACAACCACUUGCAACAGCAUGGGUAUGACUAAUGAAGAUCCUGGGAGGCUUGGAUAGGGAGAGAGAUUAGAAUUUAUCUCAAGGAGGUUAGAGAUAAGGAGUGGAAGAAUAAGUAACGUCACUGUGAGUUCUGGUAAACAAUGCGAAACAAAUUGCAGGAUGUCAAAAUAGGCUGCAAUCCAACCGUCUGACACUUGGAGGAGGCUCCAGGAUCAAACCUUGGGAAGCAUUUCCCCAAGUGUUUGGGAUGAUUGGUGGUGCCCCCAUUGUAAUUCUCAAGAAACUUGCAGUUAUGGUCAACCUUAUAAUAAUAGCCCUUUGUAUAAAAAAAUAGUAAAAAGUAAUUUUAAAAUCCAACACAAAUAGUUAAAAGAACUUAAAAUUAUGGUCAACAAAUAGUUAAAAGAACUUAUAGUGACGGUCAACCUUAUAAUAGUAUUCAGCACAAGUAUUAAGUGAUGCUACAGACAGUCUUCAAGGAGCUACAAUGGCAUGCAUGUUUAGCACUUCUAGAUUCUACAUGGUAGAUAACUCAGACAUGCUAAUCUAAAAUUAAAAUCCGAUUAUCUAAAUACCCAUAAAUGACAAUCGUAGUACUCGUUACUUGCUUAUUAACCCAUAUAACGAAACUAACAUCAAGCCAAAUUUACCUGAGCAAUAUUUUUUUCAAUUCAUUGGAAACAAAGAAUAGAAAAUUGAGUUUUGAAAAAGAGGGGCAAAGCCUUAUUAUUUGACACAAUCUAAGAAGUUCUUCUUGCAUUUCCUGAAUCUGCAAUAAUCUACAAGAUCUUUAAGAUAUUAAAGCCUACUGUCAGUUUCUUGCAAGUUGCAGCCAACGAGGCAACUUAUUUAUUUAUUUAUUUCACAGCAUCGUAGCUCAAAACUGAAACCUU